rnacentral:lncRNA from 1 species
UUUAAGUAACCUCUCUUUUGUCUUUCCGUGCAUGAUUAGAUUCCGAAGCUCUUUGGUUUUGGAUUAGGAAGCAUAUACCGUUGUUAAAUUAGGCCCUGUUCGUUUGUCAGCCGCCUGCGGCCGCGGCUGCGACCUACGCUGCGACCAGACGCAGAUGAUUGUUGUUCGUUUGUCAGCCGCGCGUCGAAUCACAAGUUUGUUCGUUUUGCAGCUGCACGGUUAAACUUGCUAUUCGUUUGCUAGCGGCGCGUCGAUUUUUUUUUUACCAAAUUUUUCAUUUAAAUAAAAUUUUAACUAUUUAUAAAUUUGUACAUUUACAUUUUAAUAAAAGCAUACUUUAAAUAGUUUCUACAUUUAUAAAAAAAAAUUAGUUAGCAAUUAUAGUAAUAAUUUUUGUAAUCAAAUCUAAUUAUACCAUUAUAAUCUUUGUGAUAAAAUCAUACAAUUUACUAAAACAAAAAAAAUAAACUAAAUCAUUAAAAUAAAAUAAACCAAGUCAUAAAUUAAGUCAUUAAAUAUAACAAAACAUACGUAAUAAUACACCAAAUCAUAAACGAAACAAAAAAAACAAAAUCAUAAACUGAAAUAUCUAAUAAAGUAAUCGACUACGGCUACCAUAUUCAUCAUAUCCCAAUCCUGUUCUAUUGCGAGUCAACUUGUUGAAUUUGAUCCAUAAUUUCUUACUUGAAUCAUACUUGUUUUUGAAUUUUUCUCAUUGGUAUCCUCUCCUAAAUCUCUCUUCAAACUUCUUAAUAAUGAAGUCUUUUCCGGUUUGAUUCAUCCCAUUCUUUGUUUUGUUUCCCUUUUUUUUCUCCUCCGCAUAGAGAUUGAAAAAAUACCGACAUUCCUCAUCGGUCCAAUUCUAAAAAACAAUUCAUAGAAUCAGUCACAAUAUCAACUAAUAAAUAAAGCACAGAUUACUUACAUCAAUAGCCAUGAUUCUUGUUUAUCUCUGAUCCUUGCUCAAAAUCAAAAUCUGCAAAAGACAAACUACAUUGUGCUAAUCAUUAACUAGCAGGGACAAGCAACAAAAAGAUUCAUCCUUUUUACGUUGAGCAAUUGAGAAUACAGAGAUAUCCAAUAUUACCUGCACUCCUUUGACUUGUAUCUGCUGAAUAAGCUCGGUAAACACACCUGUUGCAUGAAUAUAAACAAAUAUAUAAGUUCUAAGGCAUAUCCAUGGAGAUUCUAUACUAAAGCUUUAAAGUUGAUCAAAUCCAAGACUUUUGUUUCCCACGAUAGAAUUCCACCUCAUUGAACUGAAAUAUUCUUUGCAACAACAUUCACAUUUUCCACUAAUUAUCCUUGUACUCUCGCAUUCAUAUUCCUCUUGUCCAUCCUAUGGCUAUCGUUGCAUAAAGAUAAGCACCAAGCUCCAAAUUCAGAAAAAAAAAUCGACAGGUUUGCAAGCAAAUUAACACCAGUUGCCUAUUUCCAGUUUGAGCACAAACUUCAGCCAUGUCUCAAUCGAUUACUGAAUCAAAAACAUGGAUAGAGAAGAAGAAGAAAAAAUAUAACACAAAAGUACCUUUAAGUUGUCAUUCAGCUUUAAAAAAUAAAAACAGAUUGUGUGCAAAUCGAGCAGGCACAAAAAUGCAGAGAUACACUUUAUUAUGAUAUGGUUUACUUCGGUUAAGUUUGGUUUAACUUAAGCUGAAUGUAGCUUGGUUUAGUACUCUGUAUAUAAGUGAACGUUAAACUAAUUGUACAAAUUAACGAAGCUAAUAACAAACUUUCCUCUGAUGAACUUUCUCUCUUCCUUUGAUUCUGGGUUUAUCGAUCUUUGAUGAUCACGUUUAAUAUGGUAUCAGAGCUUAUAUGAUCUUCCGCGUUUCUCCAGAAUCAUUGUGAUGAGCUUUCCGAUUUCAAUUUUCUCUCGAUUUGUUUCGAUAUUGUUCUUCAUGAUAUCUGAAACUUUCUUUGGAGCGAUUCUUUGCUUCUUAAUUCUGCAUUUGUUGUUUUCUUUUUGAUUUGACCUUUUGUGUGUUCGAUUUCUUUUCUUCUUCCAAUUCUCGACACACAUUUCUCUGAUUCAAUCCGUUUCUUGAUUUGAUAAUGGCGGCGAAUCGAAAUCCUUCGAACAAUUCACCGGCGAUUGAUUCUUCGCGUUUUUUGACAGAUCAAUAUGAGAAUCCGUAUUAUCUGCAUAACAAUGAUCAUGCUGGGUUAAUUCUUGUAUCAGAUCGCUUAACAACAGCAUCGGAUUUUCAUUCUUGGAGAAGAUCUGUUCGAAUGGCAUUGAAUGUGCGAAAUAAGCUUGGUUUCAUCGAUGGUACGAUUUCUAAACCUUUGGAAACGGAACGCGAUUAUGGUGCUUGGUCUAGAUGUAAUGAUAUGAUUGCAACUUGGUUGAUGAAUUCGGUCUCUAAGAAGAUAGGACAGAGUUUGUUAUUCAUCUCUACUGCUGAAGGAAUUUGGAAAAAUUUGCAGUCUAGGUUUAAGCAAGAUGAUGCACCUAGGAUAUAUGAUAUUGAACAACGGUUGAGCAAGAUUGAGCAGGGUUCUAUGGAUGUUACUACCUAUUAUACGGAAUUGGUUACUUUGUGGGAGGAACACAAAGUCUAUAUAGAAUUUCCUGUAUGCACUUGUGGAAAAUGUGAGUGUGAUGCAGCAGCUAAAUGGGAAAAGUUGACAGAGAGGAGUCGGGUUACUAAAUUUUUGAUGGGAUUGAAUGAAUCUUAUGAGCAAAUCCGACGACAUAUCCUGAUGUUAAAGCCGAUUCCGACUAUUGAAGAAGCUUUCAAUAUCGUAACUCAAGAUGAACGUCAACGAUCUAUCAAGCCUACUUCUCGAGUGGAUACUGUUGCAUUUCAGGCUUUAGCUCCAUCCUCUACUGAGUUAGCUGCAAACACUACAGAAGAAAAUGCGUAUAUAGCUGCAUAUAAUACUACCAAGGUGGCUCCAAAACCUGUUUGUACACAUUGUGGGAAGACUGGUCAUACUGUGCAGAAGUGUUUUAAAAUCCAUGGUUACCCUCCUGGUUAUAAGACGAAUAACUCCUUCAAGAAUAAUGUUCAGUUCAGACCACCACCUAUGCCACAACAGUAUCAGACACAGAUGAUGCCACAAUAUCAGCAACCGAUGACAAAUCAGCCAAUGCAAUCACAACCAAGGAUGCCAAUGCAGAGUGCUCCUUUACCGAAUACUUUUCAGCAGACCAAUGCUAUUGCUAAUGUGUGUACUGAAGCUGGUUACUAUAACUACGGUUAUCCGAUGCCUCCACAUAUUCCAACUGUUACAAGUGGUGGAAAUAGUCAAGCUCUUCAGAAUUACACACCACAGCAACUUCAACAUUUGAUCUCUCAGUUCAGUGGUUAUGUUAAUGCUCAAGAAGAUGUUACUCCAUCAUCUUCAUCGAAUGCCUCCAUUUCUGAACAUGGUGUCAUGGCUAAAACAUCAACAUCGGGUACUCUUUCUUUUCCUAUGACUAGCCUUACUUAUGAGAAUAAUGAUCUCACUUUAUAAAAUCAUUCCCUUUCCACUCUUCAGAAAUUUCUUCCUAGUGAUGCUUGGAUAAUAGAUAGUGGAGCCUCUAGCCAUGUUUGUUCAGAUCUAGCCAUGUUUAGGGAACUCAUACCUGUUUCUAGUGUCACGGUUACAUUACCUAAUGGUACUCGAGUUCCAAUAACACAUACAGGCACCAUUCAUAUCACGUCAUCUUUAAUAUUGCAUAAUGUCCUGCAUGUUCCUGAUUUCCGAUUUAACUUGAUUAGUGUCAGCUGUUUGGUUCGAACUUUGUUCUGUUCAGAUCAUUUUUUUGCUGAUUGUUGCAUCAUUCAGGAACUUUCUCGGGUCUUGAUGAUUGGGAGGGGUAAAGUUUACCAAAACCUUUACAUUCUUGAGAGUGAAGCCCCUUCGUCAUCAACUCCUACAACAUUGUUUCUUGGUUCAGUACUGUCGGAUGGAAAUCUUUGGCACCAGCGUCUAGGCCAUCCAUCAGCAGCUGCUUUACAUAAACUUUCUUCUAGUUUACCUGUUUUUAGAAGUGUUUCUGUUGAAAACUUACAUUGUUCUGUAUGCCCUUUGGCAAAACAGAAGCGUUUAGCAUUUGUCUCUCAUAAUAAUUUGGCUAACAAGCCGUUUGAUUUGAUACACAUUGAUGUGUGGGGUCCUUUUAGUGUUGAGUCUAUUGAGGGUUUUAGAUAUUUUUUAACCAUAGUUGAUGAUUGUACUCGUGUUACUUGGCUUUACAUGCUAAAGAAUAAAAGUGAUGUUUCAUCUGUUUUCCCAGCAUUUCUAAACCUCAUAGAUACUCAGUUUCAUACAAAAGUUAAAGCAAUACGGUCAGAUAAUGCACCUGAGUUAGCUUUCUCUGAAUUAGUCAAGGAUCGUGGCAUGGUGCAUUAUUUUUCUUGUGCUUAUACACCACAACAAAACUCAGUGGUUGAAAGGAAACAUCAGCAUUUACUUAAUGUUGCUCGAUCUUUACUUUUUCAAUCUAAUGUGCCUUUACAAUAUUGGAGUGACUGUAUUUUAACAGCAGUUUACUUGAGAAAUAGGAUUCCUUCACCUUUGUUAAAUCACAAAACUCCACUUGAAUUGCUGUUAAACAAGGUACCUGAUUACUCGUUGUUAAAGAGUUUUGGCUGUCUUUGUUAUGUUUCUACGAAUCAAAAGGAUCGCCAUAAAUUUUCACCUAGGGCUAAACCUUGUGUUUUUCUAGGAUAUCCAUCUGGGUAUAAAGGAUAUAAAGUGUUGGACUUAGAAUCUCAUUCUGUAUCCAUAUCUCGCAAUGUUGUUUUUCAUGAGCACAUGUUUCCUUUCAAGACUAGUGAAUUGCUUUCUCGUGCAGUUGAUAUGUUUCCCAACACCAUCUUACCACUUCCUGCACCAUUGCAUUUUGUUGAAACUAUGCCGCAUUCAUUUCCAUCAUCAUCAGAAUAUUCAUCUGUUUCAUCACAACCGAAUGUUGAUAACUCGAGUACUCAUUCAUCUGUUCCAGUUACACAAGAGAUAGGUACUAGUUCUGUAAAUGUUGCUAGGCCUAAACGAACUACUAGGGCUCCUAGUUAUCUGACUGAGUAUCAUUGUAACUUGGUUCCUUUCUCUUCUUCUACUGAUCCUUCUCCUACUAAUACCUCUAGUACUCCAUAUCCCCUUUCUUCUGUUAUAUCUUAUGAUAAAUUCACUCCCACUGUUCAGUCCUAUAUCCUUGCCUAUACCUUAGAAACAGAACCGAAGACUUUUAAACAAGCCAUGGCAUCUGAAAAAUGGACAAAAGCUGUUAAUGUUGAGUUGCAUGCUUUGGAGGAUAAAGGUACAUGGAAUGUGGAAUCUUUACUAGCUGGGAAGAAUGUUGUUGGAUGUAAAUGGGUUUUUACCAUUAAGUAUAAUCCUGAUGGCACGGUGAAAAGAUAUAAAGCGAGAUUGGUCGCUCAAGGCUUUACACAACAAGAAGGCAUCGAUUACAUGGAUACCUUCUCACCGGUUGCAAAACUAACGAGUGUUAAACUUUUGUUGGGUCUCGCUGCUAUACAGGGUUGGAGUCUUACUCAAAUGGAUGUCUCCAAUGCCUUUUUACAUGGCGAUUUGGAUGAGGAGAUCUUCAUGAGUCUUCCACAAGGCUACACUCCUGCUUCAGAUCGUCCUCUCCCACCAAAUCCGGUUUGUCGUUUGCUGAAGUCACUUUAUGGGCUUAAACAAGCGUCAAGACAGUGGUAUAAACGUUUUUCUUCAGUUUUAUUGGGAGCGAAUUACAUUCAGUCACAGCCGAUAAUACACUUUUUGUCAAGGUCACAUCUUCAUGCUUUAUUGCUGUCUUGGUCUACGUAGAUGAUAUAAUGAUUGCCAGCAAUAAUGAUGUGGCUGUUGAGGAUUUGAAGCGGUUGCUUAGAUCAGAAUUCCAAAUCAAAGAUCUUGGUCCAGCUCGGUUCUUUCUUGGUUUGGAAAUUUCUCGAUUAUCGACUGGUAUCUCUGUUUGUCAAAGGAAGUAUGCCUUGAAUCUCCUCGAGGAAGCUGGUUUACUAGGUUGUAAACCGAGUUCAGUACCUAUGGAUCCAUCUUUACAUCUUACGAAGGAUCUGGGAACUCCAUUGCCUAAUCCUACCUCCUACAGAGAGCUUAUUGGUCGGUUAUUGUAUCUCACUAUAACCAGGCCUGAUAUUACCUUUGCUGUGCAUCAACUGAGCCAGUUCUUAUCUGCUCUAACUGAUAUUCAUUUGCAGGCUGCACACAAGGUUUUCCGAUACAUCAAAGGCAAUCCAGGACAAGGUUUAAUGUAUGCAUCUGACUCUGAACUUUGUUUGAAUGGAUUUGCGGAUGCUGAUUGGGCCACUUGCAAAGACACAAGACGAUCUGUUACAGGUUUUUGUGUUUAUCUUGGUACCUCUUUGAUUUCUUGGAAAUCAAAGAAACAAUCAGUGGUUAGUAGAAGCAGCACUGAAGCUGAGUAUCGGAGUCUAGCUUUGGCGACUUGUGAGCUUAUAUGGAUCCAGCAGUUACUUCGGGACUUGCAUAUUACGAUGACUUGUCCAGCAAACCUAUUCUGCGAUAACAAAUCUGCGAUUCAUAUAGCUUCCAAUCCAGUAUUUCACGAGCGGACAAAACACAUUGAUAUAGAUUGUCAUACUGUUCGUGAUCAGAUCAAAGCAGGGAAACUGAAGGCUUUGCAUGUUCCUACUGGAAAUCAACAUGCUGAUAUUCUUACUAAACCUCUUCAUCCUGGUCACUUCUACUCAUUAUUGAACAAGAUGUCAAUAUCAAGCCUUUAUCUUCAGGAUUCUACGAAGCUAAAGACUUGAGGGGGGCGUAUUAUGAUAUGGUUUACUUCGGUUAAGUUUGGUUUAACUUAAGCUGAAUGUAGCUUGGUUUAGUACUCUGUAUAUAAGUGAACGUUAAACUAAUUGUACAAAUUAACGAAGCUAAUAACAAACUUUCCUCUGAUGAACUUUCUCUCUUACUUUGAUUCUGGGUUUAUCGAUCUUUGAUGAUCACGUUUAAUACACUUAUAUUCUAAAGCAGACGAAUCUAUCAAAAACCCGUGAGCUACAAAAGAACCUAGCAACGAGAUCGAACUUUCUCCGACACUAAAAACUCAAUAACACAUUCUCAUUUCCAAAAGUCAAUCAGAUUAUAUUUACAGAUUCGACCUGGGAAGAAAGAAGAGGAUUGAUGGAGUUUGGAAGGUGGGUUUAACGCCGCUUAUGCUCCCGAUCCAUUAAACUUUUAAGCUCAGCUGAUGGAGAAGAUGGAGAAGAUGAAUGGGGAAGAAGAGUUUCAGCGUAGAGAGAAAGAUCUCGACACUUUUUUUUAGAGUAAAUAUUUUUUGUAAUUAACAAAUUGUUAUAAGGUUAGUUUUGUAAUUUACAAUUUUAAACGCUGUGUGUUUUGUCGCAACACUGGAUUUGAUCAACGACGCAGAACGCAGCGUUUGGACACCGCAUCUGGCCGCAGGAAGCUGCGUCAGAGUAACGAACAACAAUCGGACGCAAGCCGCAGCCGCAGCCUCCUGCGGCAAGCAAACGAACAGAUCCUCGAUCGGGACGAACAAAUCCCCCAGUUUCAUUCACCGCUUUUCAUUGGGUCUCAUUGUUUCCAUGUAUCGACAGAGAAUGAAGUUUUGGAUCUCUCAAUGUAAACCCGCGGGUUUGUUAUUAACUCCAUCCAUAAUAUUGUUUGAGAUGACUUCUACAAAACAACCAAGACUUCUACUUUGGGCUCAGGACAUGAAAUUCAUAGUCCAUAUAAGCCUAAGGGUUUACUAAAUGUUGUGAAAUUUUUUCUCACCGUGAAAGAAUAUAUAUAUAUCCCUCAUCAGUUGUUUGCUUACUAUUGCAAUCGUGUCGCUUAUUGCAUUUGCGUAGUGAAUCAUUAGUUCUAGAUAGGAAUUAACCAGGAAAACCAAAACCAUCAUAUCACUUUAGUUUAGUCAAAAUACCCACAUUAAUUCUUAAUAUUAGUUCUGAAUAUAGGGUUCAAGAUGCACAAUAUCUGGCUCAUCGCUCAUGCUACGGAUCACUGAUAUUUGGUUACUCCUUUUUGUUAGAAUAAAAAUAUUUAUAGUUAAUAAAAUCAUAUUUAAAAUGAUUAUCAAAUGGAUGCUAAAUUAUUAAUCGCACUGCAAACAACUAUUAGUGGGAUUUGAGUUAUAUAUAAAUUUUAUUAGUCUGAGAAAAAACAGCCUAAAAAUUAUAUUGUUUAAGAAAAAAAAACAAAUUCAGAGAUUCGAUGUGAUGAAACAUGAUUACAUAAUCAGAGUAAUCUUCGGUAGUGUUCUGAUGAAGGAAUAAUUUUAGAAAUGUUAAGUAUGUAACAAAACAUGAUAUGUUUUCUUGAACUAGAAAUAAUUAUGCCUAGUGUAGGUAGUUAUUUUGGGGGUCAAUUUUUUUUUGUUUUUUGGGUUAAAUGUCGUAGGUAAUAAGAUUAUAAGAAGUCCACGAUUUAGACUAUUUCACUGAUUUCAUCUAAAUAUAUGUAUUAGGAGAUGUUGCGUAAGAUGUGAAAUGAAAAAAAAAAAUCAGUUAAUACAUCUCAUCUUUCUCCAUCUACUUCACUUCAUAUCUUUCAAAAUUUCUUGAAGUUCUAAAUGUUUCCCUGUUAUUACCUUUGAAUAAGAAUAAAAAAAAACAUAGAGAACAAGAGAAUAUGAAACUGACAUGCAAUUUCCAGCAGCUUCCAAACAUAACAUAACAAACAGCCAUUUACCUUUUGUGAGUAAAACAACCAAUACAAAAGAAAUCAUAUGGCCACUUGAGGUGAAAAACAGGUGAGAUGGUCUCAUACAUAGUCCUCAAAAGUUUGGGCUCAGAAGUAGAAAUCAAAGGCCCAGUUAAACUCAUAAAUCAAAAUCAAAAUCAAAAGAAAUUCUUGGAAUAUAUAAUUCAAUGUAUUAGCGGGAUAAUAAAAAGCAAUCCCUAGAAAGUAGAAAUCAAACAGUAACGAAGCUCAGAGAGCAGUGUCAAUGGCGGAAAGUAUGAGCCUAUCUCCCGCACUCGAUCCCAGAUCUCCCUACCAUAUCGAUCCAGAUUAUCAAGCCGAAGAGAAUCUCCCUAUGGUUAUACUCAGCCAAGCCGACGACAACUACUUCAUCUGGAAGAAUCAUUUUCUCGAAUUCCUCGUAAGCAAGAACAAAACCGGGUUCGUCGACGGUUCCGUCGAGAAACCGGAUCCUUCCUCGCCGCUCUAUCAACCAUGGGUAAUCUGCAACGCUAGGGUUAAGUGUUGGCUGAUGAAUUCGGUGAGCGAAAACCUUCAAGACUAUGUGCGUUUCGCCGAGACGGCUCAUAAAGCAUGGGAGGAAUUUCGAAUGAUAUUCGUCCCGAGCGUGGAUUUCAAGAUCUACCAGCUUCGUCAGAGAAUCGCGAUGCUGAGGCAAGAUGGUGACUCGGUGGCGAGUUAUUUCGGGAAGCUGAGGAGAGCUUGGCUGGAACUUUCCGAGUAUGAUCCCUUGCCGGAAGGAGCUCAAGAGGCGAGAGAGAAGGAGCAGCGUUACGCAUUUCUGAUGGGUUUGAACAAUGAUCUAAGCUAUGUGAGAACGAAAGUCAUGCUUAUGAAUUCUCCUCCGUCUCUUGACCAAGCUUAUGCUCUGGUUGCCCAAGCAGAAUCGACGAUGAACUCGACCAGAUGCUGAAGAAUGUCAGGUUCAAUGAUCAUCACAUUCUCUGUAUUUUCUUUGUAUGAUAUCUUUAAAUCCUUGUGUUUCUUCUUUACUUGCUUUUGUAACUAUAUGGUAUUUCAUUCUCAAUGUUACAUGGAACAAGAUUAAUUCAGGGGAAUUAUUAAUAUUGAUGGUCUACAUAAAUCUCUCGAAGCAUAAAUAUUCUUGAAUGUAUAUGUUUUGAUACACUGGAUUUUACGAGGACAAAAGAGGAGAGAAAGCAAUAUAGAAAUGACUUUAUACUUUCACAAACAAAGACAUACCUGUGAUUUUUUUCAGACAAAUAUCAGCGGCCAGCUUCGAUGUCCCAGUAUUGCUACAUUCUUGAUGCUGUCAUAGCCAGUGCUACUAGUUUCUCCUUGUGCUGAUAAGAUUUCAACACCGAGCAAGUAAUUACUUUCCUUUGUCUCAGGAUACUGAUCCGACCACUGAUGUUUGGUUUUAGUGGCUACCAAGCCCUCAAGAACUGCAGCUACUUCCUUCAUCCUUGGCCUUUCCUCCCCCGUCAAUCUUGUACACUCAACAGCAACUCUUGCAGCUUCCUGGAUCUCUCUCUGAUUACCCUCGUUCAUCACUUGCCCAUCAAUAACCUCGUGCAACCUAUUCUCUUUUGUGGCAGAAGCAAAGUAACUGACCAGAUGUUUUGAGUACUGUGGCCUUUCAAAGCACAAUGCCUUUUGACCGGAGAUCAGUUCCAUGAGGACUACCCCAAAGCUAUAGACAUCGCUUUUUUCGUUCAGCGACCCCGUGUGGUAGUAUUCUGGGUCUAAGUAGCCUAGAGUUCCUUGCACCAUAGUUGUGAGCUGCUCUUUAUCCAUCGGUAUCAGUCUUGAAGCCCCAAAGUCGGCUACUUUUGCAGUCAAGUUUUCAUCCAGGAGAAUGUUAGCAGUCUUGACAUCGCGGUGGAUGAUUGGAAUAGAAGCAGAGGAAUGAAGAUAUGCGAGAGUUCCAGCGACUUCUAUUGCUAUCCUCAGGCGAUGUUCCCAUGUAAAGGAGGAAUCAAACAUGGAACCGUGCAAGUGAUCAAAAAGGGUGCCACUGGCGAUGAACUCAUAGACCAAAAAGGGAACUUCAGUCUCUAGACAGCAGCCCAAGAGCUUGACCACAUUCCUAUGGUUGAUUUUUGAAAGCACGAGCACUUCGUUGAUGAACUGCUCUACUUGGCUACAGUCUCCAAGGCGAGCCUUCUUUAUAGCAACUAUGGAGUUGUCUGGUAAUAUCCCUUUGUAGACAGUUCCUUGGCCUCCCUGGCCCAGGAUUCUGCUGUCGUCAUAACCAUUGGUUGCUUCCUUCAUGCCUUUCUCAGUGAAGAUUUGGACAUCAACGUUUGAGGACCCUGCUCCUGAGAGUCUCUGUAUCAACAUACCACCGCCGUUUUGCUCGAAGAAUUGUUGUCGGAGUCUGGUGUCGUUCCGUUGCUUCAUCCUCUGUUGUAUACAGCCAACAACAAGCAGGAUGGCCAAGAAGCCGAUGGUGGUUCCUGGUCACAUUACAAAAAAAGUAUAAAUAUAUGGAGCUGAGCUGUUUCAAGAAAUAUAGAAUCCAGAAUGAAUGAAAGAAAGAUUACCAAGAACAAUUUGAGUCCAUUUAUAGUAUUCAGGCCGGUCUUUUGGCAUGCAGAUAUUAGUGGUGGUAUCUAAGUCGUAACCAGAUUUGCAAUUACAAAGAAAGCUUCCAGGGAUGUUCUCACAGGUGCUGUGAUCCGAACAAUUAUGUCCUCGGAUAGUAUGAGUACAUUCAUCGAUAUCUGGCAGCGCACAACGAGAUAUGUAUAUAUGAGGAAAACAAUCAACUCUCAGAAGAAGAAAGAAUACAAUUUGCAAGUUACCUUUGCAACCGUCUGGAAGGUAGGGAUUCCCCUCAAAACCUUCUGUACAUCUACAUUGAUAUCCGAUUCCACGAGUAGAAUUGAAACACUCGGUGUUCUCACCGCAUAUGCGCCUGCCUACAACUUGCUCGCAUGUCUGAUUUCCAAUAGACCAGUCUAGUACCACAGGGAAGUCCGUGACAUUCCGCAGAUUCCGAAGAUCUUCUGUAGAACUGAAGUUAAACUUACCAUCCUCAACAAGAAAGGCGUAGGUGCAAGGAUUAAAGUCAUACAACACAGAAGUCGUCAUGGCGAAGCGUUUAGAACUUGUUCUGAAUUUCAACGAUCUAGUUCUGAAUACUUCCUUAUCCAAAGGGAUAGACGUCUCGCAGCAACCUUGACCAUUACAUACUCUAGUUGGUGCCGGGCGAGAAUUGCAUAAUGACAUGCAUCCAGUAGAGUAACUUUGGUCACCAAAAGUGGUCAGAAGUGCAUAAGCGUUACAACCUACCAAAGUAAACUUGUUGUUGGUGGCGACAGAUAAGUUAGCCAGCGUAUAAUUGUAGUAUAUCUCAACACUCAACUUUCCUUGUCUGUCGUAGCAAGUGUAAGACCUAUUAAACUGGACACGCAGCUGGCCGUUGUGAGAAAUGUUGGUUACGUGCAUGUUGCCAAAGAAUAGCUUCCCUUCCUCGUUACAUGUGAGACUGAAACUUCGAUCUUCGGCAUAGUAACAACCUGUAGAAAUGCCGAAAGGGUACUCGAUUGUGAUGUUGCCACAUCUAGUUUGGCAAUCCUUGCGUGGUUGCCCCUUAACCAUCUGCGUACAUGCAAGGUUGAAGAAAAUAGCCGCCAAGAUCAGACUCUGUAACUUCAUCUUUUACCUUUCUCUCCUCUCUCUCUAACUUUGUUCUUCUUUUGAGUUCUCUCUCAUCUCCUUGAGAAUUUUUCUUAUAGGUAAUGAUGAUUACUAAGUCUAGGUCUUGAGAUGUUGUCUUUACUCUCUCGUUCCAAUCCAGCUACACAAACAAGACCAUGUCAAUGUAACGCAAGAAAGACGUUCAAGUAUGCCCCAUAUACCCAGAAAAUAUCCCAACGUUUACGUUUGGUUCGGUUUAAUAGUUACUCUUAUUUUUGGUAGUAUUCAAAGAUUGCUACUGUUGGUGUGGUUGCAAAGAAUAUUCAAAUUCGAAGGAGUGGUAAAGAUUCAGACUAUAACCUUAAGAUAUUGUCGGUGGAUAGUAAACCAUUUCACUCUUAAGAAAGAGUGGUGGACAUUGGUCAACCAUUGGAACUCACUCUCUUCGUCAACUUCAUUCACUGUCCUAUCUUCUUCCCUUGAUAUUUCGAGGCAAAUUUACUCUGUUUCUUAGUAAUUUCCUCUUCAAAAUAAUUUAUUACUGAAAUAUGAAGUUUCUGAUAAUUCAGGAGUCUCUUUCAUUGACGGUUCAAAAUACAGUAAAUUAAGGUCCCUUUUGCAAAAGAUUCAAAAAAGUUCCAAGUAUCUAGUAAGCAACACCUUUAUUCUUAAAUUUUAGAAAAGGAAAGAUUUGAAUGGAACAAUCCAUGGUUUUGAAAUAAAAAAUGAAUAUUUGUUAUAUUCUGAAAGAUAGAUUAAGAUGUUAAUUAUAUAAUAAAACAGAAUGAUGAAAAAUAACCUUCACUAGUUGAUUACUUUAAGCCUUAAGAUUAGGUUAAGUUAAAGCAAGCCUUAGAGAGUAAUAACCGCUCCUUCCUCACUAAAUUCUCAACCUUCAUCAGUCUCGAUAUCAUUUCAAUCAAAGCAAGCUUACAAGAGCAGAAAAUGAGUCUUAGUUCACAAAGCUAUGUAUACCAAGUAAAGCCAUUUCUGUUUACAAAUCAACACCCGAUUCCCUUUGUUUCAAGUCCAACCCCAUCCGAUCAUUCUCAAGUUUCAUACUUUCAUUCUCCAAAUUUAACUCCAAUCUCUCUCAUCUCUUACUUUUCUUGAAUACCAAGCAAAUUAAUUCUCUGAGAUCCUUGGAUGCUUUUUAUGAAUUUUUUUGUAGUGUUACUUUACGAGAUGUUUUUCCCCAUUAUGAUGAUAUAGAUCACAUAUGUGGUUUUUCCCCAUUUAGGAUAUUUCUAACUCUAAAUUAUCUAUUACUAAAACAUUUGCUCACGUUUAACAGUUCUUCUUGGAUUUUUUUUUUUUCCUUUUUGUAGCGACAGUGGUAUAUCAUUGUCUUAUGGAAUCAGAUUCAAGAACUCCAAAUUUUCUUUCAUCUCCUUGAGGUGUGUUUUUGUAAUAUCCCGAUUUCCGGUAUAUAGAAAGGCUUAUAAGAAUUGAUUUGGCUACCUAUGUCAAUAAAGUGCACUUAUCUUUUCCGGUUAAGUGUGCUGAGAGAACUUCAGAGUUAAGCGUGCUGAUGCUGGAGUAGUCUCAGGAUGGUGACCUACCGGGAAGUACUCUGCGGUACUGUGCGAGUAAGGAUCAUGUGGUGAUUGCAGGGACAAUAUACAAUCUUACGAGCCUUCCGAACUAACGACUCCCGACCAUCGGACAGUGGUGGGCCAACGGGCCUAGAGAGGAGGUUGGGCCAACGGGCCUAGAGAGAGGACGUUGGGCCCACGGGCCUAGAGAGGGCGUUGGGUUCACUGGGAGGGACGGUUGGGGGGAGUUAGGAUUGAUAUCGCCGGUCCGCGCCUGGUCCCCAGAGGAAGGGCGGGUCGGGAUGUCACAAGUGGUAUCAGAGCCGACACCCAACCUCGUGUGUGGAGUCGUCAUGUGGCCUCACACCGUAACAGGGUGAACGAUCCUGGUGCAAGCACUGUGGGGGUAAAGGGAGAAUUCGGGGACGAAUUCAUUGGAAGUCGGGGAAAAUUGUAACAUCCCGAUUUCCGGUAUAUGGAAAUUCUUAUAAGAAUUGAUUUGGCUACCUAUGUCAACUAAGUGCACUUAUCUUUUCCGGUCAAGUGUGCUGAGAGAACUCCAGAGUUAAACGUGCUGAUGCUGGAGUAGUCUCAGAAUGGGUGACCUACCGGGAAGUACUCUGCGGUACUGUGCGAGUGAGGACAAAGCACGGAGAAAGAUCAUGUGGUGAUUGCAGGGACAGUAUACAAUCUUACGAGCCUUCCAGACUAACGACUCUCGACCGUCGGACAGUGGUGGGCCAAUGGGCCUAGAGAGAGGACGUUGAGCCCACGGGCCUAGAAAGGGCGUUGGGCUCACUGAGAGGAACGGUUGGGGGGAGUUAGGAUUGAUAUCACCGAUCCGCGCCUGAUCCCCAGAGGAAGGGCGGGUAGGGAUGUCACAGUUUUCUUAUAGGAGAUAAAUCUCAAGUCAGUCUUGAGAUGUUUAUCUUUUCACUCGUUUCCGCAGACACUUUUCCAAUCCAGCUACACAAACAGGACCAUGUCAAUUUAAUGCAAGGGGCCAAGGAGGACGAUGUUCUAGUGCCCUCCAUAUCCCAACCCAACGUCUACGUUUGAAAGUGACUCCUAUUUUGUUUGUUUUUUUUUUUGGGUUGUAUUCACAGACUACGACAGUUGGUAGCUGCAAGGAAUCUUCAAAAUGUGAUUAAAUUAUUUGUUUUCUUUGUUAAAGGGCCUUGAUUAAUUAUAUUAAUAUUGGAUAGAAAAACCAUUUCUCAAUUUUGAAAGAGUAGUGGACACUGGUCAACCAUUUGAACUCCGUCUUCGCCAAUCUUCAAAAUUAGAAAUGACAUUGCUCGUGAAAAUGUAGGAAUAGGGCUCCUGAUCACUGCAUGCUCUGUUUAUUUAUUUUUUAUCGAUCGCUCUAUUUCUAUUUUUUUGGAACAAAAACAUACAACUCCUAUACACAAAAGUUUACCACCGGCCCAAGCAGUGUGAGAACACGAAUCAUUCUCUUGAAUCCUCUUAUGUGUCUUUAGGAAGCCUCUGCUCAGAAACCAGAAGAAUCGAUGCUGAACUCGACCAAAUGCUCAAGGUCAAUCAGGUUUCUGAGCUCUGUUUUCUUUUCAUGCUUCUUUAGAUUCUAGGGUUUCUUCUUUUGAGUUGUUGUUAUUAUUUUUGACCAUAAACUCAUAUUUAACUGAAUCAAAUUUAAGAAUUCUUGAUUUUGAAUAAGAACUCUAAAGUUUCAAAUACUAAAUUUAUGAAUUCUUGAUAUACAAAAUGACUGAUGAUAAAAAAACACUAACAGUUCUUGAAUGCCAUGUUCCAUACACUGUUUCUUACAUGUUUUGGAUGAGAAAACAAAAUGUAGACAACUGUCAAAGCAUCUAGUGAGCUGUGGACUAAAAAAUAUCAGCGACCAGCUUCGAUGUCCAACCUUGCUACAUUCUUGAUGCUGUCAUAGCCAGUGCUACUGGUUUCGCCUUGUGCUGAUAAGAUUUCAACACCGAGCAAGUGUUCAAACUCCAUUGGCUCAGGAUACUGAUCCGACCACUGAUGUUUGGUUUUUGUGGCUAUCAAGCCUUCAAGAACUGCAGCGACUUCCUUCAUCCUUGGCCUUUCCUCUCCCGUCAAUCUUGUACAUUCAACAGCAACUCUUGCAGCUUCCUGGAUCUCCCUCUGAUUAUCCUCGUUCAUCACUUGCUCAUCGAUAAUCUCAUGCAAUCUAUUCUCUCUUUUGGCACAAGUAAAGUAACUCACCAGAUGUUUUGAAUGCUGUGGCCUUUCAAAGCACAAUGCCUUUUGACCUGAGAGAAGCUCCAUGAGGACUACCCCAAAGCUGUAAACGUCACUCUUUUCGUUUAGCAGCCCCGUGUUGUAGUACUCUGGGUCUAAGUAGCCUAGGGUUCCUUGCACCAUAGUUGUGAGCUCCUCUUUAUCCCUCGGUAUCAGCCUUGAAGCACCAAAGUCGGCUACUUUUGCAGUUAAAUUUUCAUCCAGCAGAAUGUUAGCAGUCUUGACAUCGCGGUGGAUGAUUGGAAUAGAAGCAGAGGAGUGAAGAUAUGCGAGAGUUCCAGCGACUUCUAUUGCUAUCCUCAGGCGGUGUUCCCAUGUAAGAGAAGCAUCAAACAAGGAACUGUGCAAGUGAUCAAAAAGGGUCCCACUGGUGAUGAACUCAUAGACCAAAAAAGGAACUUCAGUCUCUAGACAACAGCCCAAGAGCUUGACCACGUUCCUAUGGUUGAUUUGUGAAAGCACUAGGACUUCGUUGAUGAACUGCUCGACUUGGCUACGGUCUCCAAGCAGAGCCUUCUUUAUAGCAACUAUGGAGUUGUCUGGUAAUAUACCUUUGUAAACUGUUCCUUGGCCUCCCUGGCCCAGGAUUCUGCUCUCGUCAUAACCAUUGGUUGCUGUCUUCAUGCCUUCCUCAGUAAAGAUUUGGACAUUAACAUUUGAUGACCCUUCUCUUGAGAGUCUCUGUAUCAACAUCCCACCACCGUUUUGCUGGAAGAAUUGUUGUCGGAGUUUGGUGUCCUUCUGGUGCUUCAUCUUUUGUUGUAUACAGCUAACGACAAGCAGGAUGGCCAAGAAGCCGAUAGUGGUUCCUGGUCACAUCACACACAGAUGAUUAUAGUGAGUUUUAUUUUCCUGCAGAAAAGAAAGAAUCCAGAACGAGUGAGGGAAGCUUACCAAGAAAAAUCCGAGUCCAUCCAUAGUAUUCAGGCCUCCCUUUACGAGUGCAGCUAUUGGUCGUGGAAUUUAAGUUGUAACCAGAUGGGCAAUUACAAAGGAAGUUUCCUAUCGUGUUUUCACAGGUGCUGGAACCUGAACAGUUAUGUCUAUGGAUAGUACUAGUAGUAUUACACUCAUUGAUGUCUGGCAAAACGAAACAGAGCGCAAGAUUCAGCAAGGAAUGUAGUAUUAGAAAAACAAUGAACUCUCAAAAGAAGAAAGAAGGCAAAAGAAAAACAAUGUAAAGUACCUUGGCAACCGUUUUCGUUUGAAAGGUAAGGAUUCCCAUCAAACCCUUUCUUACAUUUGCAGAUAUAUCCGGUUCCACGAACAGAAUCGGAACAAACGCUAUUCCCACGGCAUAUGCUUGCGUUUCCAGCUUGCUCGCAUGACUCUUUACCAAUAGACCAAUCCAAAACCACAGGGAACCUCGUGAUAUUCCGCAGAUUCAUAAGAUCUUCUGUAGAACUGAAGUUAAACACACCGUCUUCGACUAGAAAGGCGUAGCUGCAAGGGUUGAAGCUAUGCACAGAGGUAUGGUUGGAAAAGCUAUAUGGGCUGACUCUGAAGUAAUUGCUCCCUCUAGGUACAGAAGUCUGGCAGCAACCUCCACCAGAACAUGAUCCGUUUGUCUCUCUGGGAGAAUUACAUGUUGACAUGCAUCCAGUUGAGUAAUUCCCAACGCCGUUUGUGUUGAGAAACGCGUAAGUGUUACAUCCUACUGCAGUAAACCUGUUCUUGUCGGAGAAUGUUAAAUUUCCCAGCCUCGACCACCGGUUUUGGCGGCUGAUCUGAUUCCCUUGAAUGUUGUAGCAAACGUAGGAUCUGGUAUUCAAGACGCGUAGCUCGCCACUGAGAGAGAUGUUGAUCACUUCAUUGCCGCCAAAGAUCAGCUUGUUUGUUUCGUUACAGGUGAUUUUGAAGCUGUUAUCUCCGGGAUAGUAACAACCUGGAGAGAUUCCAAAAGGGUACUCGACUGUGAUGUUGCCGCAUCUAUCUGUGCAACCAGGCAAUGAUUUCCCUUUGAUCAGCUGACUAUAUGCAAGUGAGAACAUUGCCACAAAGAACAGACCCUGCACCUUGUUCAUCUUCUCUCUCUCUUCUUUCUUGGGUUUUCUCUCAUGUCCUUGAGGUGUGUUUUCUUAUAUGAGAUAAACCUCAAGUCAGUCUUACGAUGUUUCUCUUUUUACUUGUUUCCGCAGACACUUUUCCAAUCCAGCUACACAAACAGGACCAUGUCAAUAUAUGUAAUGCAAGGAGGAAGUUCUAGUACGCUCAAUAUCCCAACAAGUUCACGUUUGACAGUGAAUUUUUGUUUUGUUUUUUGAAUUCAAAGAUUACGACGGUUGGUAGUUGCAAGGAAUUUUCAAAAUGUGAAUAAAUGUUAAAUAUUCUGACUAUUUAUAUGCUUCAUUAUGUAUUUUUUAUUAUUAUUGAAUAGAAAAACCAUUUCGUAGUUAAAAAAGAGUAGUGGACAUUGGUCACCAUUUGAACUUGGUCUUCGCCAAUCUUUAAAAUUCUCUGUCAAGGAAAUGACAUUAUAAGAGACUAUGUAGGAAUUAAGGCUUCUCAUCACAGCAUGCUCUGUUUUCUUUGAUAUUUGUUUGUUUUUUUUUUUUUUAAAAAAGAAAGAAAUAACUCCUAGUCUCCUAUACACAAAAAGUUGACCAACGGAGGAUGUAUUUCGGAAAUCAAGGAAAAGUCAGCGAUGCUCUUGGUCUGUGUUCGUUACUGAUGGUGGCUCUUUUGAGGGUACGAUCGUCCUUUUAUAUCCCAAGCCGGACGCGUGACACUGACAACAGGAAUCAUGCUCAUGAAUUGAGAGGUUUAUGUCUCUUUAGACAACAAGAAUCGAUGCUUAACUCGACCAAAUGCUGAAAGUCAAUCAGGUUUCGGAGCUUUGUUUUUUUUUUUUUUUACCAUAACGAUACAUCAGCAAUUCAUUAAAAAAAUUCAGAUUCAUGAAUUCUUGAUUUUUUGAGCUCGAAUUCUAAACUUUCAAAUACUAAAUCGGAUACGAAGUGUAACAUACCAAACAAGGGGGAUUAUAUACAAAAUUAUUGAUGAUCUAAACCACCAAAUGGUUCUUGAAUGCCAUGUUUCAUACACUUGUUUUUGUUUUACAUGUUUUGGAGGAGAAAACAAACAGACUGAAAAAUAUCAGCGGCCAGCUUCGAUGUCCAACCUUGCUACAUUCUUGAUGCUGUCAUAGCCAGUGCUACUGGUUUCAUCCUGUGCUGAUAAGAUUUCAACGCCGAGCAAGUGUUCGAACUCCAUUGGCUCAGGAUACUGAUCCGACCACUGAUGUUUGGUUUUUGUGGCUAUCAAGCCCUCAAGCACUGCAGCGACUUCCUUCAUCUUUGGCCUUUCCUCUCCCGUCAAUCUUGUACAUUCAACAGCAACCCUUGCAGCUUCCUGGAUCUCCCUCUCAUUAUCUUCGUUCAUCACUUGCCCAUCGAUAACCUCAUGCAACCUAUUCUCUUUUGUGGCAGAAGCAAAGUAACUGACCAGAUGUUUUGAGUACUGUGGCCUUUCAAAGCACAAUGCCUUUUGACCGGAGAUCAGUUCCAUGAGGACUACCCCAAAGCUAUAGACAUCGCUCUUUUCGUUUAGCAAUCCCGUGUUAUAGUAUUCUGGGUCUAAGUAACCGAGAGUGCCUUGCACCAUUGUUGUGAGCUGUUCUUUAUCCAUCGGUAUCAGUCUUGAGGCCCCAAAAUCGGCUACUUUUGCAGUCAAGUUUUCGUCCAGGAGAAUAUUAGUCUUGACAUCGCGGUGGAUGAUUGGAAUAGAAGCAGAGGAGUGGAGAUAUGCGAGAGUUCCAGCGACUUCUACGGCUAUCCUCAGACGGUGUUCCCAUGUAAAGGAGGAAUCAAACAUGGAACCGUGCAAGUGAUCGAAAAGGGUGCCACUGGUAAUGAACUCAUAGACCAACAAUGGAACUUCAGUCUCUAGACAGCAGCCCAAGAGCUUGACCACGUUCCUAUGGUUGAUUUGUGAAAGUACUAGCACUUCGUUGAUGAACUGCUCGACUUGGCUAUUGUCUCCAAGCCGAGCCUUCUUUAUAGCAACUAUAGAGUUGUCUGGCAAUAUUCCUUUGUAAACUGUUCCUUGGCCUCCCUGGCCCAGGAUUCUGCUGUCAUCAUAACCAUUAGUUGCUUCCUUCAUGCCUUCCUCAGUAAAGAUCUUGACAUCAACAUUUGAUGGCCCUGCUCCUGAGAGUCUCUGCAUCAACAUUCCACCGCCGUUUUGCUCGAAGAAUUGUUGUCGGAGUUUGGCGUCCUUCCGGUGCUUCAUCCUCUGUUGUACACAGCUAACGACAAGCAGGAUGGCCAAGAAGCCGAUGGUGGUUCCUGAACGCAUCACAAAAAAAGUAUAAAUAUAUAGAGCUGAGCUGUUUCAGGAAACAGAGAAUCCAGAAUGAGUGAAAGAGAGAUUACCAAGAACAGUUUGAGUCCAUUUUGUAUAGUAUUCAGGGCUGUCUUUUGGAAUGCAGAUAUUAGUGGUGGUAUCUAAGUCGUAACCAGAUUUGCAAUUACAAAGAAAGCUUCCAGGGAUGUUCUCACAGGUGCUGAAUUCCGGACAAUUAUGUUUGUGGAUAGGAUGAGUACAUUCAUCGAUAUCUGGCAAAGCGCAACAAGAAAUGUAUGAGGAAAACAAUUAACUCUCAGAAGAAGAAAGAAAACAAUUUGCAAGUUACCUUUGCAACGAUAUGGAAGGUAGGAAAAAGUGUGUAAGAUGCAACAAAGAAAAACAAUAUAACUAACACUCAAAAGAAAACGAAAUUCAAGUUGAAAGUACCUUUGCAGCCUUCUUCGCGAAGGUAUGGAUUCCCAUAAAAACCUUGUAAACAUUUGCAGACAUACCCAGUGUUGUCAGUAGAGUUGGAACACUCGCUGUUCGCACCGCAUUUUUUGAUUCCUCCAACUUGCUCGCAUGUCUCUCCUCUAAUAGACCAAUCUAAUAACACAGGAAACCUCGUAUUCUGCAGAUUCGUAACACUUUCCACACCACUGACCUUAAAAGUGCCAUUCUCAACGAGAAAAGCGUAGAUGCAAGGACUAGUAGAACUACGCACAGAAGUGUAUCUAAGGCGAUUUCUGCUGACUAUGAAAAUAUUGCUCCAAGCAGGGACUGGGCUCUGGCAGCAACCUACACCAUUACAUUGACGAUCUGUUACUUGGGGAAGAGGAUCAUCACAUAUUGAUACGCAUCCUACUGAAGUUCUUCUUCGAGAUCCAGCAGUUGACAGAUACGCGACCAUGUCACAGCCAACUGCAGUAAGCAUGUUGUUUUUGGAGAGAGUUAGAUUUCCCAGCCGCCCAAUCAAGUUGGAUUCAGAACUUAUAUGUCCUUGGCUGUUGAAGCAAACGUAUGAUACUGGAAUCAGGACUCGUAGCUGGCUUGCAUUAUAAUUGACGUGGACCACUUCGAGGUCAUCAAAGAGUAGCUUCUCCUUGUCACAAGUGAGUUUGAAACUAGGAUCUUCGGAACGGUAACAAUCUGGAUCAUGAGAAAAAGAAGUGCCAAAUGGGUACUCAAGUGUAACCUUGCCACAGGUUGUUGUUGAGCAAUUGGUAGAGGGUUGCCCCUUGACCAGCUGCGUGUAAGAAAGGCAUAUAAUAGCCACCAAGAACAAACCCUGCAACUUCAUCUUCAACAAACUUGUUCCUCUUUGGAGUUUUCUCUCAUCCCUCUGAGGCUUCUUAUAUGGAAUAAAAGUUGAGGAGCUCUUCAAAUGAUCUGUUUACCCUUGUGUGCAGACCAAUUCCCAUUUUUUUUCUUUUCCUUUGUUUCUCGAAUUUACAAUACUAUAAUCUAUCGUCCAAUUACACAGCCAAGACUUUUUCUACUUUAAUGUCGGUCAAGUGAAGUCUAAGUCAGUGUAAUACAAGGGGGCGUUAAAGUAUACCAUAUGAUAAUAGUAUCCGAACGUCUACGUUUCCUUUUAACAGUUCAUAUUUAUAUUAUUUGUUAUUUUUGAAGGAUUCAAAGAUCAUAAGGAUCGGUCGUUGCAAAGGAAUCCUCAAAUGUGAACGAAAAGGUAAGUUUCUGACGAGAUGCUUUAGAUAUUAUAGGAUGGAAAACCCAUUUGACAAUGAUAAGAAGAAAUAAAAAAAUAACCAUUUGAGCUCUCGUCAACUUGAGUCUCUGUCAGAAUUACGUUUUUUUAAUUAACUGAAUGGCAUGGUCUGUUUUCUUUUGAUUUUCUUUUGUACCCUUUAAGACAUAUAUCACCACAUAUAAUAGUUAUUUGAAUAUUCGGUGAUAUAAUCAUAUAAGUCGAAGAAAACUCCACUUGAAUUCUAAUGUUUUGAGUGAAACCAACCAAAUAUCGGUUUUUGAACUGACAAAUAUCAAUCUAACAAAGAUUUUAGGGGAAGACAACACGAUACAAGAAUCCUUGAAGCAUAAAGAUUCUAUCACAGGAAGAGGAACAUUACUUUAUACAAAGGUGCUGCUGGAUGCAUGCUAGCUUAUGUUUUUUUGUCUUUUGUUGCUGAUGAUUGUUUUCACCUUCUUCCUCCUCGUGCAAGGGACCCUUAACGUCUGAGUAUGCUAUCAGCGUGAACAGAGAUCACAUACUCUGUGUAAAUACAACUCUUCUGGUGCGUUUUCGCGUAAACAAGGCCAACAAAGCUGAACAUAUACACCAAAUCAUCGACCAGAAUAACACUUCUGGUCGCUAAUUAUGCUACGAAGAUAACAUUUCUCAGGUUCUACUUUCACAUGUCUUUGAAUCAGUGAGCUAAGGACGUUUACAAGCACACACACAGAACAGAAACCUGCAGACCAGGAAGUGGAGUUUGCUUUGACUUGAGAAUUACAAUAGUUAAUAACAAAGAAAGGGCUUCUUUGUUAGUAACUAUUUAGUAUACACAGAAAUAUCUUAAAAGAAUAGAGAGGAGAGAUUAUUCUCAAUACACAGUUUAGGAGUUUCUUUCAUUGACAUAGUUCAAACUGGCUUUUGGAUAAAUUACCAACGGAGCCAGAUUUGAAUUGAACAAUCCUGGAUAUGGGGAUUAGAAACAAGAAAAUAAAAAGAGAGAGAGAUAUUUGUUACAUUCCAGAAAUUGGAUUAAGAACGUCAAGAAUAAAAUACACCAGAAUGAUGAAAAUAACCUUAACCAGUUGAUAAGUUCAAGCCAUAAGGUUAAUAUGAAAAAGUGACUUGGAUGCUAAUGUUAAAGCAAACCUAAGAGAGCUUGCUUAUAUCAACCAAUCCUAUCACUAUAUUCUCAACCAUCACGACCGCAAUGUUCUCUCACAUCAAAGUCUCGAGAUCAUUACAGUUAAAGCAAGCUUACAAUAGCAGAAAAUGAGUCUUAGUUUGCGAAGCUAUAUAUACCAAUCAAAGGGAAGUAAAGCCACUUCUGUUUACAAUUCAACACCCAAUUCCCUUUGUUUCAACUCCAAGCCCAUCCGAUCAUUCUCAAGUUUCAUCCUUUCAUUCUCCAUCCUCAUUCUCUCGAGUUCUUGAUCCCUUUUCUUACUAAACCUCUCCCACCUGAAUCUCUGUUUCUCCAAUUCCAGCAACUCAACUUGGAUCUGAAGCUUCUGCUCCUCUAACUGGAGAGUCCGAGACUCAAUCCACUGCUUCUGCACCGAAGCUGCUCUCCCACUCUCUGCCCCACCUUGGUUCACAUCAGCUUGAGGAAACGGCAUUUGAGGUAAAGAGCCUCUACUGCAUUCAAGAGAAUUAACGUGAUUCGGAUGGUCAGCAUCUUCAUGGCUAUGGCUCUGUCUCAUCUUCUUCAAAGGACCACCACCUCCGUAAUGAACUCCUCUACAAUCCCCAUGUGAAAAAUGCUGCUCCUCAUACUCAUCAUGCUCAUCACCUUCUCCAUCAUGGUCCUCAUCAUCAACAUCCUCCAUCAUCUGGUGUUUCCUAGAAUCAUCGUUAUCAUGAUCAUCUCUGUUUCUAAGCGCCAACUGUAGCGAACGCUGCAAAGCAAGGUCAUGAGGCAAAUGCAACCUGUUCCCAUUGUGGUAUGAACACAUCUCUUCAUAGAAAAGAUGUUUGGAACUCAUGAUUUUCCUAACAUCAUCCUUCUCUUUAUCAUUCAAGUAACCAAUCGAAUCCAAAAGCGCAGGAUUCUCAACAACCUGACAAGAAGUUCCCCUACCAAGCAUGUCGUUAAGCUUCUUAUACCGUUUAUUCAAAUCAUUGAACUUAUCCUCGCAUUGCUGCGGCGAGACAUGAUAACCUCUCUCAGCCAUGACUUUGGAAACCGAUUUCCAUUUCCCUUUCUUCUGCAAAACCGCAAACUUCCUUCUACUACCAGUAUCCAUGGUCGAAUCAUCACCUAUAUAAGACACAGCGGUUAUCAAAAGCUUCACCAUCUUAUCUGUCCACUUCACUCGUUGCCAAGGAGAUCCUUUGGUGGAUUUGUUGGCCUCGUUGUGACCAUCACCACCUUCCUCUGUGAAACUUGGUUCAUCAUCGUCACUCACUGAGAUCUUCUCUCUUUCACCUUUAUGCUGCUCAGUUAUUGACAUGUUGUGAUGAUCACAGGUUUGACCUGUAACCAUAGUAAAGGGAAGACCUUCGUGAAGGGUUCGAGAAUUUGGGUUGUGUCGAUGCUGAUUCAUAGAAUCUGGAUGAUGAACUCUCGUAGGACCUUGCAAAUCGAAUCCGCCGUACGAAGAAGCUCCACCACGAACCACACUUCCUUGCGGAAAAUUACCAUCCAUUUCCUACCCAAGUCUCUUCCUAUGGGAGAAAAAAUCAUCAGAGUAAAUCCGCAAAUCGAAGAGACGUAUAGAUCUUAUAAAGUCACGAAGCGUUUCUUAUAAAAAGAAGGUACUGGAUGGAUCUCGUGGAAAUUGAAGAUCGAAACUUUAGCAGAGAAAACAGGCAGAGAGCAAAUCAGGAUGAAGAAAUUAAGCGGUGAAUGCGAGAGAUGAGUAAAACAAGAAGAAGAAGAAGUAACUCACAAACAAAUUUUGAACUUGCUUCGUCUUCUCCGGUCAGCUUCUCAGGGUUUCUCUCUCUCUCUCCAAAAACAUGUCUGUGUGUUGCGCCAGUUAAAAGUUGUGUACAGGUGGAUGCCAAAAGCUCUUCUUUUGUGUAAACUUAUUUCCUUUCACGUCCAAACUUCUUGCAAUAUAUAAAUUCAACCCCACAAAUAUUUUAUGAUUACUUUAUUGAAUAGACAAAAUGAGACCUUGUGAUUGGACUUGGACUUUGAAUUCCACUAAUGAUUGUUCAUAAUCAUGUAUGAGAGUUUUAUUCAAUAUUUGCAUGAAUCAAUUCGAUCUAUUCUCGUUGUCAAAAGGUUUUAUUAUCUUUUUUGACAGAAAAGGUUGAUAAUCUUUAUUUUGAGAAAAAAGAAGAAGAAGAAAAAGAUAUCUAUACUUCAUAUUAGAAGUGGUGUAACAUACUUAUGAGGAUGAACACGCAAAGAAGACCGAUUUGAAGAAAGAAAAGUAGAAAUCAAAAGUUGGAAACGAUAUAAUGUAAACAUGAUAUGUAAAAUCAAGAAACGAAUAUAUAACGAAUUAGAACGAAGAGAGCAUUGAGAUCAAAAGUUGGAAACGGAAUAAAGAUCUAAAGAUCCUAUUGGAACGAUCAUCAACACGCUUCGAGUCAUAGUAACAUGGGAGCAAUGCAUCGAGAAUGAGAAAAAUAGUCUUAUCUCCGUCUGGGUCUGGUCUGAGCAGGAGAACCCAUUGAUUGUGACUCUCUAUAGUUUCUGCUGGGAGAAUCCAUUGAUGAUCUCGAAGACGAGUAGGCAGCUUUGGUUACUGGAGGCGUUGAAUCCAACGGGAUAAUCUCAACGAAGCAUGCACUAUUCAAACGGGUCUUCUCUAGCUCCAGUUGAAGCAUUUCACUUGUACACUGCUGUGCAAGAGCCUAAAGCAGCAACAGUAACAAAACAAAACCGCUUUUCGUAAGAGGUUUUUAGCUUUGAAGAUGGUAAAUAUCAUUUAAGGAGAUAUAACACAGUCUUACAAUGAGAUCAUCUGGAGAUACGGAUGAUUGUUUGUCAUCUGAGAUUGCAUCUUCGCUGCCACGUGUUGGUUUCCGGUGAUGCCCUCCUGCGUUGUUCUCAGCUGUCUCGCUGAUGCUCUCUGUAGCUUUCUCCAACACAGCUCCUUGCAGAGACUUUAGAGACUCGGUUGCAUCAGGCGUGAGAUAUGGAUUCAAUAUAGUCUCGAAAUACUCGAGCUGCAUCGUCAGUUUGUGAAAACAUAUUAUAUAAUCUUUUUAACUAUUAACCCACUCGCUAAAUAAAGAUGAGAAGACUAAUAUGUUUACCUCAAGCAUCAGUUGGCAGAAACCAUUUGCAUCUAUUGAAGCCAGGUCGUCAGAUCUGUUUUCUUCUAGAAGACUGAGAAAUGUGUCGAUCAGACCUUCGACCAAAGUGCCAAGAAUUUUUUCCAAUAGAGGUUUGGCACCAGCAAAUACCUGUAAUUACAGUUGUCAGUGUAGAAUUAACGGGUUUUUAAACUGGGAAUACUCAAGUCUGGUGUUUGAGUGUCUUAACGAUCAAAUAAACUCUCUUUUGGUCUAAUGAAACAAUCGUACUACCUCUGCAUGGACAGCAACCAGAGUGUGCAACAGCUCAACAGCAGCAUCUCUUAUGCCCUGAAGGAAAGUUUUAGUUAUUGGUUCUGUAAGACAAGAGUCUAAACAAAUAUAUUCAUUGAUUCUAAGGAACAAGAACAAUCCACAGCCGAGAGUUAACUUGCUACUUACUUUUACAGGAGGCGCUGCACCCCACUGAACACCAGAGUCCAGCAAAUAACUUGUUGCAGCUGUUCUGAUCAAGUGUGCCUGGGUACAAGAUGUAUAAGUACUCAUUUAAAAGGAAAGGGUUAAAAGAAAGAACAUUCUUGCUUCCGUUGUGCAGUGAAGGUGCAUCAAUUCUCUAAACGCAGCGACCGCAUUACUAAACUAAUCUAGCAGUAAACGUUACCUUAGCAAAAGUGUAAUGUUCGAGGACCUUUUCUCCAAGACCAGAGAAGGACAUUAUUAAAUCUUGAAGAUCACUGCUAUCUUCAUCAUUUCUCCUGCAACAUUUGAGAGACACAAUUGAUUGGCAAGUAAACAAUAACACCAUCCACUAAUUCACAUGAUGACAUUCAAAUAUUUGAGAAGGAAAGUUCAGAUAUUGGUACUAAUUAGCAUGGUCGAGACACUUUUCUACCAGUUAGAGCAGAGGUAGGUAAAUAUUGAUAUUAUAAAAGGCACAAUCAAAUUAGAAAGGGACCCACCUAGAUUGUAACCAGGUAUACUUGUACUUGUUGUAAAGCUCAGAGGUAAGUUCGUCUUUGCAGUAACCUAUAUUACUUAAGAUCAUCAACAACUGACUGUGGGGAUCAACAACACUUUCUGGAGCAUUUUUUGAUGGUUCUUCCUGGUGGUCGUUGGAAUAUCCAUUAUGCCAACCCUCUUGCUUUGAGGUGCCUUGAGAAAUGUCAGCACCAAUUUGCUCCAAGUGAGCUGAUAUAUGCAAAAAGCAAUUAGCCUAUCAACAUAAUCAUUUUCUAGUGUGUGCAUCUGACUCGAUCCGCAUAAAUGUUCUUUUUGUCUGCCCACAUUAAUGUGUGGGCAUCUGUAUACAUGUACUAUCACAGAAGUUUGGUGUAAAAGGCUUACCAGCAAAAUCCAGAAAGGAGUUCAAAAAGGCAAGUCUAACAGAUAUCAGGAUUUCCUCAAUAUGGGCGAACAUAUCUUCUGAUCUAGCAGCUUCACCUUUUAAAGACUGAAUCAUCCUGGAAAAAGAAAAACCAGAAAUCAGCAACCAUAUACGGCAACACAGCCAUUAAAACACGGAAAUUAGCAGUACACAAUUGCAAAUGCAGUUCUCUAAAUAUCUCUAAUUGCAUGCUUCACGACCAGAAUCAUAAAAAUGGCAAUUUGGCAACUGCCAUAUUUUUCUCUAACUAGAGAGAAAAGUAGAACAUUAAAUCAUAGUAUUUUCGAGCUGGAAUCAAAGAUAUCUAGAACUCUUACAAAUCAUAUAGCUAAAAUUUGUAGCUCUUAAAGUAGACAGGUUAAGUAUUUGUAUAUACAUGUAACUGCAAGAUGCUAGAAACUUACAGAUUAAUUUGCUCCAUCCCAGAAACGAUAACUGAGCGGAAUGCAAGGGGCAGGUAAGAAAUGGAAUAUGGAGAUCUAUUCCUUUCAAGAAUAGAAACUGGGAUCCACGUCUCCUCCUUUGAUAUUCCUUCUGUAGACGCCCUCAUCCAAGAGCAAAGCCGUUGGAUGUAUAUUUUAGUGAUUUCCACCUUAACUUUUCUUAGUGCCAUGACUGCCAAAACAAAAGUGUAUACAGAAUCUCAGUAUACUUUAGCGAAACAACAAGCUCAAGUAUCAGAAGAAACUCAAAUACCAGCACUAUGAGGAGCUGACUCUUUCGCCUCAAACGCUUGACAUGCUUUUGAUACUUCUUUGAUGGAAUCACUCAUAUAUGGGUGGAGAAUAUAUGAUUCGUCAAAGUCAUGAAAUGUGCUUUGCACCUACACAAGCAAUAAGCAGGGAAAAAAAGUAUCAGAACCAAUGCAUUCGAAUAUAUAACAGAGUUCAUCUUUCUAGUAUAGCAAAGAAAAGCUCUAUUGAAAAGAUCAGUUGACAGAAAAGAGGCAAGGAAAUGACCUUUGCUUCAUAGACAGAAAUGGUAUUUCGUAUCAUCCCCGCAACUUCUUCCAACGAAUGAGUUGAAUACCUCGCCUCUUCCACCUUCUCCUCAGCUUUGCUGGCUGAAGUAUCGUUAACUUGGGAAGACUGAUUUGGUAGAAUUCAAUCAAAGUAAGAUUUCCCUCCAUUUGAAUAAAGAUAGAAAUAGGUACUACCCUCAGCUUACAAAAUUAUAAUACACAGAGUUAAUCUACUGCAGGAGCAGAGCACAUAGGAGUAUCAGGUACCUUGGCAAAUUUCCCACUGAAAACAGAAAGAGCUGUUUUCCAAAACGCAGGGAGAUGAUAUACGAUAACAGCAGUUAAUCUUUUGAUGUAUCUUCCCCUCAAAGCAUCAUUAUCUUUUCCGGCUGACUCUACUGGUGGUAGGUCAACUUGAACUUGAUUAUCUUCCAUAAUAGACGUGUCAUCUGACUGAAACAUUGAAAGAAGUACGAAUGUUAUCAUCUUUAAACCUGAAUCUUGAUUAUAUUGAAAUAAUAUAGCUGCCCUCACAGUUGAACUUACAAGUUGAACACCAUUUUGUUGGAUUUGUCGCCACUUCGCGUCAGAGAGAGCUCUCUCAUGCACCUGGUUGCGCAAAAUUUCCAUCCUUGCUUCAUGAUCAAAGGUACACUUUUCAAGCAGCCCAUGGAUUCUUUGAUUCUGAUAAAAGAAAGGACCCAGCCAGAAAACCUUAUAUACGUAAUUCCACAAAUAGUCUGGGAAACUAUAUAUAGUGUGUGUUUCUCGACCACAAUCAUGAAAGAAAGAAAUGCAUAAUACCAGAGGCUAAGAGAGCGAAAAUAUGGAUACUGAACUCAAAACUAUUAGGAAUUCAGACACUCCUCAGCACUAAGGUAGGAAAGCCGUCGAAAAAAGAGCAACAACAUCUAACGCACGCACUAACCUGAACAUGUAAGUAAUGCCAAACGGGAUCCGAUUCGGGCUCCAGCUCCAGCAAAAGCCUCACAGUGUUUUCCAGCUAAAUUAAGCAAUUAAAUUUUAGCUUGAAGUACAGGAAGAGAUGGAUAGAGAAGUUACAUGAAUGUCUAUUACAAAAAAAAAGAGAAAUAUGAAAACUUCAAUAACUGUUCACUUAGAAACUGAUAUGUGAUAUUAAAACAAAAGCACCAGGCCAUCCUUUAACUUAUUUAAAUGAUGAACUGUUCAUUCCAUUAGUAAUUUACAUUAGAAUGGAAGUAGUAAUACUUAACUUACAGUCGUAAAAUCUAUUUUCGGAUCUUCCAUAGAUCUGUAAAGGGUGCCUUUAAACUCCUGCAUGACUUUCUCAACCUCUUCAAGUACGCGCUUGAGUAAAUUUACCUGUAAGAAACGUGUCACUCUAUGCUUUCAAAAGUUUUCUAAGAAAUAUCCUACAAGUGAAUGCUGUGAGAAAAAAUGAGUGGUAUAUGUCUGAAGAGUGUGAUCAAUGGGACAAGCAUACAUGAGAUGGAAGAGCAAUGGACUUCGCCUUCUUGUAUUCCCGAACAGCCAAGUCAUACUCGCCUUUGCUGAUACUACUACGAAUUAUACUUGGUAAAUUGAAGAGUGUGCGGAAUCUCUGAAGCAUUCCUUGUACAGACCUGAUCUUCUCAGCUUGGGCCUAAGAAUUAUGGUAAAAAAAAAGGCUUAAGAAGACAGCAAGAGGCUACUACAACACCAAAAAACAUUAGUACGUGACCAAAUCAACCUGUCUCUCAAAAAGUGGCUUAAAGGCAAGAUUAGCCCGAGAUGUCACACUCUUCAUACAGUUGAACAAAUGAGUAGUUCCGGAUCCUUCUGGAUCGUCUUCGAUCCGUUUCAGUUUUGAUUCAAUAUCUGUAACCAAAGGCAGUAGCCUUCACAUCAACAAGAGAAAAGAUAAAAGCCAAAAUAAGCCACCAAUUGAGUGUAAUAAUACAUACCAUCAAUUGUUGUUUUACACGAGACAAAGCAGUCAAAAUUAUCUUUCACCAACUGUUUCCUUUGUAAAUUUCGGCCCUUUAAGUCACUUUUCAGGGCAAGGGCACCAGAUUCCAAGUCCGCUGCACUGGUCUCUUGGUGAAUGCGAGAAAGAAACAGCUUGGGAUCGAAAUGGUCAGAGAUGUACACCAACUUUUCUGCAAAUUCUCAGACGAGUAAAUUUACAAAUUUUAAAAACCGGAAGUUGUACAAUGUACAUAAGCCCCCAGAAAGUUCAAGUCCUUUGUAAAAGCUAAAUUAACUCCAAGUUGAAAGUAUAGUCAUGAAGAAAUACAUCCCCCGAAAGUGCAUUAUCCACUCUCUCAGCUUUUGAAAGACUUUCUGAUGACUCAUGAUUAAUCUCAGCGUCUUGUAAUCUAUUAUCCUACGACGUACACAUAGCCAUGUUUAGCUACGCACUUCCAUCUCAUCUUCUCAGAGAUAAGAGUAAAGUAUCUGACUGACAUUUGCGGUGAGCCACAAAAAGAGAGAAAGUACCCUAAUUUUAGUGGAUCGGUGCAUUCCAUGCCACGAGGGAACGAUUGCAAACUGGUAAGAACAACUUUCUUGCCAGCUCCAGAUACCUUCCCAUCAAGCUUCUCAGUCGCAGGUAGUGCUGUUCUUGACUCCCGCAUAUCACGAACCCUGCGGGCAAGCUGCCAAAUGUCACCAGCAUUAGAGUGAAACGUUCAUAUUUCCAACUGAAUCUGCGUGAUGCUAUGAUUCUAACAGAACCAAUGGCCUUGAGUUGGGUUCAUAUAUCAAAUCCUUCCGGAGGAUCUCAAAACUGUUUUAUGAACAGAAUAUUCAGGGGUCAUACGAUCGAUAUCACAUAAAGCAAAUUUUCGAUGUAAACCUAAACUCGAUCAAAUAAGCAAAGAUUACUUACGACUACUUUAAAUCAAAACGAUGCAGCAAACACAACUAUAGCCAAACGAAAAUUCAAAUUCUAAGCUCGAAAGUAUCACGCAUAAUCUUAUCAAAAGAAAACUGGAGCCAGAUAAAUUUAGACUCGAUAGAUACGUACCUCAGCUUCAUUUACUCGUUUCCAGCAAUCGGGCUCUAAUCCAUCCCAAGCUCCAUCAUCUUCCUUCCUCGCUCUUCCUCUCUCCUUGCCACUGUCGCCUCUUCUCCCGCCACCUGCAGCACCACCUUUUCCCCGAUACUUCUCCUCAUCCUCAUCCCCGCUCGAAAUGCUGAGCAAUUCAACCUCCGAUUCAUCGUCCUCAUCCAUCGAUGGCUUCCUUGCGGCCGCCGGACCUCCCAUCGGCUUCUUCGGCGGAGGAGCUGCCGGUUUCUUCUGUUGACGUGGCUGCUGCACUAAAUUGGCGACGGGCUUACGGGAAUUGGCGGAAGGAGGCUUCUGAUAGGUAAGAUCUCUCUGAGAUUGCUCUUUCAACGCCAUUUGAAGGAGCUCAUCUUCGUCUAGAUCGUCGCUGUCGGUCGACAUUUCUUCGCUGAAUCAGAGGAUCGUCUCGGUUUCUUCCUCCCUUUGAGCUAUCGCAGAGAUCUGUACAGAUUUUCGUUUUUCACAAAUCUGUUUUUGACUAAUUUGAAUUUCGUUUGUGACUUUUUCUUUUUCCCGUGUGUAGCGAAUUUUUUCCUUCUCGAAUUUAUUUGUUUUUAACUUUUCCAGUUCCAUUUAUUAAAGGAAAUAAAUAAAUGCGAAAAUAAAUCAAUUAAGGGGAGAAUGAACGCUUGCGUUUUCCUAUUUAGCCUAAACCCAAAAAUCCCUUAUAAAUACGCGACCAACCCGAAAUCGUUCGAAACUCUGAAAUCGCAAUUUUCUCUGCAGCGAAGAACUUUACUCAUCUCCCACAAGGCCUAAUCUUCUUCCGUGACUUCUUUGCUGUUCCGUAAUUCCUCCUGGUUUGUUUUUGCCUAAUAUGAAGAGAAACCCAUCAGCGAAAAAGGUAAACUUCUCUCCAUCUCUCGCUCGGAUUUACUGGGAUUUUUAUUUAGAUGUUGAUUCGAGUGUUAAUAUUGCUGUUGAUUCGAAUGUUAUUGUUAGCCUUUGAAAUCUGAUACCUGAUUGUAAUUUUUUUUUUCGGUAUUUGGGUUAAUCACAGACUAUAUUCAUCUUCGAAUUUUAUCAAUGGAUGGGAAGAAAUCGAGUGCGUGUGGUGGAGACGAAGAUCAUUCCUUUGUCUCGUCGUCUAUGGGAGGUGAAAAAUCGAAGAAGAAAUCAUCUUUGAUAGAUGAAGAGAGCUCCAUUGGCUUGGAGCUAUGUGAGAACCCUAAAGCUGAGGAAGACAAGGUUGUGAUCACCGGAAAGAAGAAGGGAAAGAAAGGUUGUAAAAAACCUAUGGAAGUUAAGGAGAAUGAUGAAUUUGCUCUGCCUGAUCUUGAAGAUGAUUACAAGGAGGAAGCAGAGGAUGAUGAUAGUGUUAAAUUGGGCGAUGAGUCGAUGCUUGGAAGAGAAGUCACCGAGGAUAAUUCUGCUACUAAGAGUGAGGAGGUUGGAGAAACUUCAAAAAGUAAGAAAAACAAGAAAAACAAGAGUGGAAGGAGUGCACGUGAAGAAGAUGAUUUGGACAAGAUUCUUGCAGAACUUGGGAUAACUCCUGUUCCUGUUUCACAUGAGCCAGUUGCACCUGCAGAUGGUGCUGGUGAGAAGGAUGGAGAAGAAGAGACUGUUGAGUCAGCUGCAGCAAAGAAAAGGAGAAAGAAGAAGGACAAGAUAAAGAAAGCAGAUAUGUCUUCUGUGGAGGCUAAUCAAGAGAACUCAAUGUCUGAGCCAUCACAGCCCAAGAAGAAAGAUGGAAAGGGUAAAGUAGCGGAGAAGAAAGUUCCUAAACACGUUCAGGAGAUGCAAGAGAUUAUUGCGAGGCGGAAAGAAGCUGAAGAGAGGAAGAUGAAGGAGGAAGAAGAGAAGCUGAGGAAAGAAGAAGAAGAGCGCCUCAUGCAGGAAGAGCGAGAGAGGGAAGCUGAAGAGAUUAGACAGAGGAGAAGGAUAAGGAAUAAGGAGAAAUUGCAGAAGAAGAAGCAAGAGGGCGGGAUUCUAACAGAAAAGCAAAAGAGGGAUCAGGCUUUCAAGAACAAGGCGUUGACUGAAGCUGGGAUUCUUCUUGUUGCAGAUAAAAACGGUGAUUCCUCAAAGCGUCCCAUUUAUGCCAACAAAAAAAAAUCAGCUCGCGAAAAAGCAAAAGGUUCUGCUUCUCUCCAGGUGAAAGAUGAUGUAGAAACAAAACGAGCUGAUGAUGAAAGGAUUGAUAGAAUAGAAUCAGCAGGCACGAAAGAAAAGCAAGCAGCUGCUUAUGUAGAACAUGAGAAUGGUGAUGAGAAGGAUGAUUGGGAAGCAGAAAGUGGUGAUUAUGAUGAAGAGGACGAAGAACCUCAGCCUGUGGUUGAUAUAGAAUUAAAAGACACUACAUCAAAGACACAUUAUUCAGGUCAUGAUAAACACUAGUGUCUUUAUCCCUUGUCUGUUCUUAAUCUAAUAUUUUGGGUUUCAAUACAGAUCCUCUCACUGAUAGUCCAACAGUAACGGCAGGAGUUGCAGGCAAGCCAACAACAGCUGCCAAAAAAGCUAUGCAUAAGGUGGAUGAUGCUACUCGGCCAAAAGAUACUUCUAAAAGGGGUAAAGGUUCAGUACUGAAUGAAGAAGGUAUUAAAGAAAAACAAGAAAAUCUUCGCUCUCCCAUUUGCUGCAUCAUGGGACAUGUUGACACUGGUAAAACAAAGCUGUUGGAUUGCAUCAGAGGAACAAAUGUUCAGGAAGGUGAAGCUGGAGGUAUUACUCAACAGAUUGGUGCAACGUAUUUCCCUGCAGAAAACAUCCGUGAGAGGACCAAGGAGUUAAAGGCUGAUGCAAAAAUUAAGGUGCCAGGUCUAUUGGUUAUUGAUACGCCUGGGCAUGAGUCAUUCACAAAUCUGCGGUCAAGGGGCUCAAAUUUGUGUGACCUUGCAAUUCUAGUGGUUGACAUAAUGCAUGGUCUAGAGCCACAAACUAUAGAAUCUCUAAAUCUUUUGAGAAUGAGGAAUACAGAAUUCAUUGUUGCCUUAAAUAAGGUGAGAGUUCUCGUCAUUCUGCUGGGAUGUGGUUGGUUUUUUAUAUUAUUACUGAUAUGUGGCAAUAUAAAACCUUCAACUUGCAGGUUGAUAGACUAUAUGGGUGGAAAACAAGCAAAAAUGCUCCUAUAAGGAAGGCGAUGAAGCAGCAAUCGAUAGAUGUGAUUAAUGAAUUUAACACGAGGCUCACUAGUGUAAGUCAUACGUCUAUAGGUUUUGAUAUAAUGAUUUAGGGUGGAUAGGAUGAGUACAUAUGAUGUAACCUAUAUAUAUAUUGUUUUUCAUUGUUGGUUUCAGGUUAUAACUCAGUUCAAAGAACAAGGACUCAACACUGAGCUUUAUUACAAGAACAGAGAAAUGGGAGAAACUUUCAGUAUUGUACCUACUAGCGCUAUUAGGUCUGAAAUUUAUUUGCGUCAUAAAUUUCCAGUCCAACAUAGACGUCAACUAAUGGAUUAAUUUGGAUAUUGAUAUCUCAGUGGGGAAGGGAUUCCAGAUCUGUUGCUGUUGCUGGUACAAUGGGCUCAGAAAACAAUGGUCGAGACACUCACAUAUGCUGACAAACUGCAGGUCUGUUUCAUUUCUCUUUAGGGAACUCGUCAUUUCUGCAAUACAGCAUACUUAUCGUUUCUUGAAAUGGUUACACAGUGUACCGUCCUUGAGGUCAAAGUUAUUGAAGGCCAUGGUACGACAAUUGAUGUUGUUUUGGUCAAUGGUGCUCUCCACGAAGGUGAUCAAAUCGUUGUUUGUGGGUCAAAGGUAAGUAGAAACCUCAUGGGGCAUACCUAAACAUAUCAUGUGCCAACUGCCAAGUAUUUCAUAAAGCUGUAAACUUGAUGUUAUUGUUUCGUUUCCUUUUCUCCUAUUUUCAGGGACCAAUUGUAACAACUAUUAGAUCAUUAUUGACUCCUCAUCCUUUGAAGGAACUACGCGUGGAGGUACUUUCAGAUAGUCCAUUUCUUCCCUCUUGUAACUGUUAUUCGUAGGGAAACAUGAUUUGUGCUAUAUUCUUUUUUCCAUACACGAUGAGAAUUUCCUGGUCUUUUCAGGGUAAAUAUCUGCAUCAUAUAGAAGUAAAGGCUGCACAAUGUAUCAAGAUUACUGCACAGGUGAUUAUCUCUUACAUAACAUCACAGUCUUCAUUACUAGCCGACACUGUUAUAUGUGCUUUGAAAUUUGAAGCACAUCCUGAUCAAAAAUGCUUCCCAUAUUUUUGGUGUUUAUAAAAGGGCCUUGAACACGCUGUUGCUGGUACUUCCUUGCAUGUGAUUGGACCUGAUGAGGAUGUAGAAGAAGCCAAGAAAACGGCCAUGGAAGAUAUGGAGUCCGUUAUGAGACGGAUUGACAAAAGUGGUGAAGGAGUUUAUGUACAAGCUUCUACAUUAGGGUCUUUGGAAGCAUUGCUUGAGUUUUUGAAGUCCCCAGAUGUAGAAAUACCUGUCAGCGGUAUUGGUAUAGGACCUGUGCAUAAGAAGGAUAUCAUGAAGGCCGGCGCAAUGCUAGAGAGGAAAAAAGAGUAUGCUACGGUUUUGGCUUUUGACGUGAAAGUAACUGCAGAGGCUCGCGAACUUGCAGACAGAAUGGGAGUAAAAAUCUUGUGCGCUGAUAUCAUCUAUCAUCUGUUCGAUCGGUUUAAUGGUUACCUGAAGGAUAUCAAAGAGGAGAAAAAGAAAGAAACAGCCUGUCAAGUAGUGUUCCCAUGUGUCCUUAACAUUUUACCAAACUGUGUCUUUAAUAAGAAAGACCCAAUCAUCCUGGGAGUCUAUGUCGCCAAUGGAAUACUCAAGGUACUGUAUAUGCUAAUUUUCUCAUGAGGAUCUGUGUACACAUAUGUCCUCUGGAAAACACGGAUCUAACAAUGGUCUUGAUGUUUUAGGUUGGAACUCCCAUGUGCAUUAUCAAAGAGAUUGAGAAUCUAAGAGUGUUUAUGGAUAUUGGUCGCGUUGCUUCUAUCAAGAAGAACAAUAAUACAGUUGACUCUGCUACGAAAGACGAGAUGGUGGCUAUUAAGGUAUGAGAUCGCUUUCUUUCUCUUCAUCACUUAUAAACCUGUGUUUUCACCGUUUUCUCUGGCAUUUGACCUUGUAAAAACCAAUGAAUUUGUUUGUUUUUCCUAUUAGAUCAUUGCCUCUAACCCUGGAGAACAGAAGAUGUUUGGGAGGCACUUUGGUAUAGACGACGAGCUUGUCAGUCAUUUUUCUAGUCGAUCAUUCGACAUACUCAGAGCAAACUACCGAGUAAGUCUGUCUUGUAACAAAAAAGAUAGAAAACUAAAAAUUAACUGUGCUUUAAGCUCUAUCUAAAACCUUAAACCUUUAUUGCAGGAUGAGUUAUCUCGAGACGAGUGGGAGCUUGCUUUGCAACUUGAAAACAUGUUCAAGAUACAAUAGAUUCACUCUCUUUACCUAAUUACAUUUUGAAGCUAAACACAGAGAUUAUUACAUUGAAGAUUUGAGAAAGACAUUUUGCGUUUCCUUUUUCUUUUGUAAUUUGCUGAUUGAUAAUGAUUGUUCUUCGGUUUUGACAUUAUAAGCAUUUCUUUAUAUGCCGCUAAAUUAUUCUAUGCAAUCCAUUAACCUUAACCCUCCUAUUAUUCUACAAUUUUCUGUGGAUUAAACUCUCAAGAUUACCUGUGUUCUCUAUAUUGCCUUUCUUUUGGUAAUUUAUUGGUUCUAUUCUAUCUAGUAUUUUUGAUAUGGAAUCAUCUCUGAUUGCAUUAUUUUUGUUAAAUAAAGCCACAUGUUCCAUUUUCCUUUUUACGAGGAUGUUAGAGUUUACACGCAAUCUCGUGCCAAAAGCAGGCAUGGAUUUAGCUUUACAAAUCGGAAUAAUACAUAUGAGAUUAUAGAACACGACAACAAUUUCCAAAAGUAGUUCUCUUUUAAUUUUUUUUUUCCGGAGAUCAUUGAUUCGUCAUGACUCUAACAGUCUAACGUAAUGGAUCUCUAGUGUCGAUUUUUUUUUCUCCAAACGGAACUCAUUUGUAUUUGUAGUCUACAAUAAAGAGCUCGAGAUCAAAAAUAAAUUCAUUCACAACACACAUUAUUAUCUUAAUAAAGAACAAAAUAGAUAAAUUUCAGCUCUACUUGAUCUUAUUAUAGUUAUAAUUUCUAACAGGUUCUAACUACCAACAAAUUUAGCGGUAUUUUGGCGAAUUAAUUAGGCGUUUUGGCAGAUUUUUGGCACAUUUUCAGGUUUAAAUUAAAAGGAUUUUAGUUUUUAAUAUUCAUAUUUUAUUUUUCAUCUAACGUAUAUUAAAGUUUUCUUGCUCUAAAAAUUUACGGUUAUCCAGCUUCUUUGAAUCAAAUCAAAUCUGAUAAGAACAAACGGAAAAACAAAAAAAAAACAUUUUACCAGCCUACUAGCCUGCGAGCCUACAAGUGUUAAAGACUCAAAGCGCCAUUUAUCAUUACUGACAAGUGUUAAAUUUAGACUCAACGCGCCAUUUAUCAUUAUUAUUGAGAGAAACUUCAAUUGGCAGAUUUACAUCACAUACAUGGUUUAUAAAGAGAUUCCAUUCGUAUCAAAUUACCACCAAUAAAACAAGUCACGAUUCUAUUCCAAAGUUUCUUAUACAUCUUAAAAUGAAAAAAAAAAACCGUAACCGCUUCCAUUUUGUUGCAUGAACACAUGAAGAAGUGUUCGGUCACGUAAGUAAACACACACAAACUAUCACAUACCAUGUGACCCAAUCAGUUUUGUCAAACCAAAAGUAACCGCCAUAGCUAACCAUCCUCCAAUCAAAACCCUAGCUGACGACUUAACCACCGGUGCUUUCCCCAAAACCGCUCCUAACCACCCAAACAUGACCAACGCCAACGUAACCGCCGCCACAAUCACUCCAAGCCUCACGUUAUAAUCUUUCACAAACGCAGCCGCCAAUAAAGGCACAAUCGCUCCCAAAGAAAACGCUAACGCAGACGCUGCAGCUGCUUGCAUCGGGCUAGGAAGCUUCUCCUUCUCUAUAUCUUCUCCUCCGCUCUCUCUCUUCAUCUGAGCCACCUCUAUGUCGUACUGAGAGUAAACCGAGACAAACUCUCCGAUUGCCAUGCUACAAGCUCCGGCCACUAAACCGGCGAAACCGGAUAAGAUCAUGGUUUUGACGUCUUGCUUAACCGCACCGACACCCAUCAUAAGCGAAGCCGUUGAGACAAGACCGUCGUUAGCACCGAGUACGGCGGCUCGUAGCCAUUGAGCUCGUUUGGAGUAGUCGAAAACCUUUUCUUGAUCUUUCUCCAUGUCUAGGUUCAAGCUGUUGUUCACGUUGUGGGACUCCAUAGUUAUUAAAAUUUCUGUUGAUUUGGUUUUUCUUUUCUUUUCUUUUCUUAUAGUUGUGUUGAAAUGAGAGAAGAUAGAGAAUAUUUGAUGUAAGUGUGGAGAACACACGCCUAGGUUCAGGUCUAUUUAUGGAGAGAUUUUAUGUGAAACUUUUGUAUUUUGUUAAUAUAAAAAUUUGUAUGUGGUGGCGUCGACGAUUAGUAAAUGUGGACCAUCAUCACCACUAACGGAAAUACUUUUACUAUAUUAGACAAAUUGUGGACUAAAAUCAACCCCCACCUGUUUUCCUCUUGUUACUGAAUUUGUUUUCCUAAAACUUGAGUUUUACUUACCAAAACACAAACCUCAAUUAGUUACCAAAACCCAAGGCUUGAGUCUUGACUAAUAUAUUUGAAGCAUCAUCAUCACCACUAAAGGAAAUACUUUAAUUACUAUAUUGGACAAAAUGUGGACUAGUAAGUUAAUCAUUCCUACCUGUUUUCUUCUUAUUCAUUGCUGUUUUUUUUUUUUCCUUCAUUCAAAAACUUCAAAACUUGAGUUUGACUUACCAAAACACAUACAGCUUGGUUUAGUUAUAAAAUCCUGACCUUUUUUUUCCACAACUUUAGUGUGUAUACUAGCUAUGUACUAAUGAGUAUUCUCAGUACUGUCUUAUAUGCAUAGGUCAUCGAUUGUUAUAACUGAAAGGCUACCGUCAAAUUAUGAGUUCUAGCUGUACAAGUAAACAUAUUUGAUAUUAGCAUUAUAUAUUUAUUAUUUCUUUUUCCAAAAAAUUAGAAUAUUGAAUUUAGCAAAGAUCUAAACGUUUUUACACUAUGAUUACAAGUUUGAAACGAACAAAUCAUAGCGGAAACAAAAUUAAAGUGGAUUUCCGCGUACGAUCGGUAAAGAUAAAGCAUAUACAUUACGAUAAUUGGUAUAAAAUAUAUCUCAAUUGAAACUAAAUUCAAAAGGAACAUCAUAUACCUUUCCAACAAAAAACAUAAUAUUUAUAAAUCAUUGAAAGAAAACGCGAAAGAGGGAAAUAAAUGUGAAAUACCACACAUUUGGGUUUUCUCCUUCUUUUUCACAUCUUACUUUCUUAGGGAUGUAAGUUUCUACUUCAUUUUAUUUAAUUCGCGGAGGGCCGAAAAUAAAUAAACAAUCUGAGUGAGAGGCCGAAAGGGGCAGUUACAUACUUGCAAUAUGAAGCUGUUCUGUCGUCUCCAUGAUUCAAAGCCAUGCAUAUUAGCAUAUACUAAAUUAGAUGAUAGAAACUAAAAAUUAUGGUACGAAAUCUGUUUCCCAAAAUUAAGUUUGUAAAACUUAUAAUGCUUUAGUUCUUGAGUUUUUCUUAUGUUUACCGCUUUAAGUUUCUUAUGAAAUUAAGUUUUCCUUUUGGAGACUAUAUUUGGGAAAAUGCUAUAAUUUAUUCUCAAAAAUCGAUUGACAAAAAAAUCCAGUAAGCUUGUAUUAACGUUGCUUUUUGUUUUAAAAAGUAAAAUUUCAAACAAACAAAAAAACCGGAGUUCGAUUGGUAAAUAAGUCCAUUAAUUUCUCCACAUAAUUUGAAAUAAAUAAAGAGGUUUCUUAAAGUUUCAGAUUUUCUCAUAUUUUAGUAUAUUAAAACUAAUAAUUAAAUGUUUUUCUUCAUUGUAUUAUAUCUAUUUUUUUCAUUGUAAUUUUUAAGACACAUUGAAAACGAGUAGAGGUCGGCUGAUUCAUUUUUUAUUAUUUUAACUUAUUUUAUCCCCUUUUUCUUACUAUACGGAAACUGUGAAAGCGUUUUUUAGUAAAAAAAAAAACAAAAAAACUGUGAAAACGUUUUUCUAUAAAGGGAAAAUAAAACAACCUCUCUAAUUCUUUUACUUUCUGUUUUCUUUUGUUGGUUGAUUAUACUUUUUUUUCUCGACAAAGAAAUGAACCCAAAACAAAAAGGGGCUAAUCAAUCACACAUACUGUUUAUAUUAUUUGUUCACCAUUCUCUGGAUUUUCUUAGUGUUUGACCAAAAGUGAUCAAUGGAUAAUAUAUAUACAUAUGUAUUGAUAAGACACUGUUCGAUUUUGAAACUGUUUAAUAGUGUAAUCAUAAUAAUCUAUGGGGUCUUCUGUUCAAUAUAUAUAAGAAAGCGAUGAUAAGGAUGAUAAUAUAGGUCAAAUGGAUUAAUAUAAAGAAAACAAAGAAUUACUUUUUUUCUGUUAAAGAAUUACACCAUUAGUUACUGAUAGACAAACACAUAAUGGACGAUUAAAAUAUCAAACAGUACAAUCCAACUAGCUCAUAUAUGAAGGGGAUCAAGUUUGAAUCAGAUGCUUUUCACACUAGAGAUUCUUCGACCCAGCAAUUAGAGCCGUCUGCAACUAAAUAUCAUAAACAAUCAUAAACAACAAAUUAGUAGUAGAUAAUAUGAACAUAUAAAAGGUGGAUUUUUUUUCCUGAUAUAUAUAAAAAUAGAUGGAUUGAUGAAUUGGAAAGCACUGAGAAAUAAAUGUAUAGGGAGAUAAAACAAUGGAAAUAGUUGAUAAUAAUAUAAAGAAAGAGGGACGAGUGUGGUUGCCACACGAAUAGCACCACACUUCACCAUCAUCAUCACUUGUUUAACACACACAUAUACAUAUCUACGUAUUAUGUUUCUUCAUAUGUAUGCAUGCAUACGUAGUCGCCUACGUAGCUGUAUGCCCGCGCAUUUUAGAAUUCCGGAAUAUUUAACUCAUAUGACUGGUUUUUAAAAAAAAAUAUUUAUAUAUAACGGUAAAGUUAUAAGUGCCUUUUUACGGCUCACACCACAUUCAAAUUGUGGAUAAAAUAUCUGAUAUAAAUUUUUUUCAAAGAAAAAAUAUCCGAUAUGAUUAUACAAUAAAAACCGAUCAGUAUAACACCACAUUUGUUUUAUUAUAAUUUACAUUAGUAACGAUCUAUAAUUGAAUUAAUGAAUUAUAAAAUAUACAAUUAUUGUAUAUAUGUGAAUAAUAUUUAUAUAGGUGAAUAAUUCUUUUUUCCUGUGUAUAUUUUUUACUAUGCUAUAGAAUUUGUUAUUUGGUUAUGAUAUAUUGAUAACAUCAUGUGUGAACCUGUUGUUCGAUUUUAUAUCCGUUAUUCUCUCAUAAUGUAGUGAAAAGUAGGUUAUUGUACCUUUUAUAUUUGAUAAUGAUACAUUUCAACUUUACUAGUGUGGUCCGAGUCCUGGCUAGUCCUACGAUCAUGAAACGCGAAAUCUCAUAAAAAUUUCGGAAGUGUUUUUUUUUUGUUAUUUUUCUUUUGUAACGCUUGUUUGAUACUAGAAGAUUCAAAGUGGACUGAUACAAUGAGGGAUACCAAUGAAGUAUCAAACAGAGAAAAACAGAGGAUCUCAAAACAUUUAGUUCAAAUGGUAUGAGCCAUACGCCGAUCUUCAAAGAGGUGGUGAGAAUGAACGAGGUAAUUUGGUAGUGAGUUGACCUGACAUGAGUUAGGCACCGUCAAUAUGCAAUUGAUUCGACAUUGCGAUUGCUUUCUAUAGAAGUCCCGUCAAUGCUUCAAUGAUCAGAAAAGUUCAGCCAGCUAGUGAUGUUCUCAAGUAGUCCCCGAAACAUCCUUCCUUAACUUGUGCAGAUGACAAUUCAAAAAAAAAAAAAAACAUUUUCUUCUAUUGCAUAUUAUUACUAAAUAGACAUUUUACUGCCUAUUAUAAACUCGGGAGCUCUGCUUCGAAUCUGGAGGUUAAUCUGUUUGUAGCAUAGAUGACAUUUGAGUAGAUAUAUUUUCUGUAGGAUUGAAAAUAAAGGGUUUAUGCAAAUAAUUUUCAGAUGAUUAGCAAGAUGAAUCCUAUUUCUAUCUAAAAUAAAUUUAUUUACGAUUUUUCUCUAUCCUUUCAUACAGCCAGGAGGCCCAGGACAUUGGAAAUUUAACUCGGCCAACAUAAAUGGGCUUAACAGAAAUGCAGCAAUGGAUUAAUGUAUAUACUAUAUAAGUAUAUAGUAUUAACCAAAAAAAAACAAGAAAAAUUGAAUAAAACUAGGCAAGCUGACUCAGCUUCUUCGUGGAACUGAAUACAUUGAGUAGAGUUUUGUUUGCCAUGUGCCAUGAUUGUCUUGACUCUUGAUUCUUGACCCACAUAUUUGCGCAGUCAAAAUGGACACUCGUAAUGAUAUCUUUAUAUGAAAUAAAUUGACAAAAACAUUUACACAAAACCGUACAAAAUAUAUUUACAUAAAAACAUGCCAGAUUCUCUACAUUAGUAUGAAAUAUUUGUUUUCCAGAGGGUCUAUGAGUUUUGAGGGAUACUAAAGUGAAACGUUCUUUCCCCCUGAAUUCUCUGAUUAAUGGUAUUAACUUGAUCGAAUCCGAAGUAUGUAUAAUAUAUAUAUAAAUAUUAAUAUAUAUAUAUAUAUAUAUAUAUGUGUGUUAGGAGUUAGGACUUGUAUCAAAUGACUUUGUUAGAAUUAUUUUCUUAUAAUUUUAUUUGUGAAAUUGAAGGAAAAUGACAAAGUAGUAAUUAUAUGGAAAAUAAAUUAAUUUAGUAUUCAAGAAGAACUAGUCUUUCGCUUGUCCCGUCCAUAGUCGUCGUGACCAAGUAGUUGCUAUGCGCCGUUGUAGUAUUAUAAUUCAGGGAUAAUUUAUUGGAUAAGAUUAUGUAGAUCAAAUUAAAUAAUAAGAGAAACAAAAACAGAUGAUUAUACAUAUGUACGUGGACUCUUUAUAUAUAUAUAUAUAUAUAUAUAUAUAUAUAUAUAUAUAUAUAUUAAGUUGGUCCGUCUAUAGUGAUGAAAUUUUGAACUUUGACUAAUCCAUGGCUUGAACAGAGUGGUUCUUACUUUUCUACGGUACAUUAUACUAAUACUCUUCAGCACCCGAGAUAGACCGGCAAGCCAAGAAUAUUUUAUAUGAAAUUUAAUAAAGAGAAAAUUAGCCAAGUUUUAGCUAUAAAAGGAGAAACAAAUAAGAAUCAGAAAUAUACUAAAUCAGCAUUCCAACACCACAAAGAAGAAAACACACACAGCCUCUCAUUCUCGCUCCUUGAUUGUGAUCACGUAGAGUGCCGUGAAGAAGAAGAAAUGGGAUACCCUUUCGAAGAAACCGUAAGCUCUAGCCCUAAAACCCCAAUUGUCACUGAUGAUGAUAAUGAGUUGGGAUUAAUGGCCGUGAGACUUGCAAAUGCCGCCGCCUUUCCAAUGGUUCUCAAGGCCUCUCUCGAGCUCGGUGUCUUUGACACUCUCUACGCCGAAGCCACUCGGACUGACUCAUUCCUGUCACCUUCCGAGAUAGCGAGUCGGCUACCAACCACGCCACGUAACCCUCAGGCGCCGGUUUUGUUGGACCGCAUGCUUCGUCUACUCGCAAGCUACUCCAUGGUCAAGUGCGGUACGGUCCAAGCCGGAAAGGGCGAGAGGGUCUACAAAGCCGAGCCGAUUUGCAGGUUUUUCCUGAAGGAUAACAUUCAAGAUAUUGGAUCGCUUGCUUCUCAAGUCAUUGUCAAUUUCGACAGCGUCUUCCUUAAUACCUGGUAUUUUUUCUACAGUUCAUCUUAGUACAAACCUGUUCCGUUUUUCCAUGCCCUAGUUCCUGAUUGAAAUGCUAUGAGAUCUUACCUUAAACCGUACGCAAAUUUUAGGGCACAAUUGAAAGAUGUCGUGCUAGAGGGAGGAGAUGCAUUUGGCCGUGCACAUGGUGGCAUGAAACUAUUCGACUAUAUGGGUACAGAUGAGAGAUUCAGCAAGCUCUUUAACCAAACCGGAUUCACAAUCGCCGUUGUGAAGAAGGCUCUUGAAGUCUACGAAGGCUUCAAAGGUGUGAAUGUUUUGGUUGAUGUCGGAGGUGGAGUAGGCAACACCCUUGGUGUUGUUACUUCUAAAUAUCCUAACAUUAAGGGUAUUAAUUUUGAUCUCACGUGUGCCUUGGCACAAGCACCUUCUUACCCUGGGGUGGAACAUGUCGCCGGAGAUAUGUUCGUGGAUGUUCCAACCGGAGAUGCCAUGAUCUUGAAAGUAAGAUUAACAACUUAUUAUUCAUCUAGCUUGAAAGUGUAUGUAUACUAGUACUUAUAUCUGGGAUUAAAUUUGUUUUACAGCGUAUACUUCAUGAUUGGAAUGACGAAGACUGUGUGAAGAUUCUUAAGAAUUGUUGGAAAUCACUACCAAAGAAUGGUAAAGUUGUUGUCAUAGAAUUAGUCACUCCUGAUGACGCGGAGAGUGGAGACAUCAACGCAAACAUAGCAUUUGACAUGGACAUGUUAAUGUUCACCCAAUGUUCUGGUGGCAAAGAGAGGUCAAGAGCUGAGUUUGAAGCUUUGGCUGCAGCUUCUGGUUUCACCCAUUGCAAGUUCGUUUGUCGUGCUUAUCACUGUUGGAUUAUUGAGUUCUGUAAAGAAAAUGUUUAAAAUAUGAAACUUAAUCUGUUGGAAAAAAAUAAGAAAAACUAAAUCCUCGUCAUUGUUAAUUCGUCUUUGCUUUUUUUUUUUUUUACUUGUUUACCUUUUUAAUUCAUCUUUGUUUGAAAUGGUACAAUUUAGUCGAGCAAUAUGAAAUAAAAAAAUCUGUUUAUCAAUUGGUUUUCUCAUUUUGUACUCAGCUUUAGCUAAUAAUUGUAGCCACAUGGAAUUCAUUGAUUUCGUUUUGAAAGUCUCACACAAGAGCAUCAUUGGUUGUUUUCAUUUGUUUUCUUCUUCUUUCUCCUUGGUUGUUACUUGUUAGUCCUCUUCCUUUCGCCGGAAAUAACGGCUACAUACUUCUCUAGUUUAAUGUUUUAUUCAUAAUUUCUGUUAUUGCAAAAGCUUGAGAGAUUCAUAAAUGAAUAUAAACCAAAAAAAUGUUCAUAAAACUAGAAUAUAAUUAGAGAAUACAGACUAAGACCAUCUCCAAUGGUCCUUCAAAUUUUACUUUUUCCUUCAUUUUGAAGAUAAAAAUGAAGAAGUCUUUUCCAAUGGUGCUUCAAUUUCACCUUCAAAAUGAAGAAAUGAACAGUGUUCCUUUCUUCAUUUUUUGAAGGUGAACUUUUUUCUUAUAAAAUGUAACUUUAACUUUUUAUAUGUUUUGUUUUAUACCCAAACAAAACUUAUAUAUUUUUUUGUAUCCAAUUUUUUUUAAAACUAUGGAUUUAUCCAAUCAAAUUAUAAACUAAAAAUGUAAUAAGCACAAUAAAAAAUACAAUAACAUAUAUUAAUUAAGAAAUACAAGAACAUAGCCAACUACAAAAUUAAAAAUACAUAUCUAAUACUAAAUUAUAAAUAAGAAAACUUAACAUAACAUAAACUAACAACUUAAUAAUCUGAGAAACUAUUUCUACAUCCAUUAAAAUUAUUAAAUUUUUGUUGAAAUUUUACAAUAAAUAAAAUAAGUAGGUGAAAACUUAUAAAACAGAAAAUUGAAGGAUCUUAUUAGCAAUUAGUAAUAACAUAAAGAAAUAGAAUAUACCUAAAAUAUUCUUUUUGAAGAAAAAAAUGAAGAAAAGUUGAUCCAAUGGUUUCUUCAUUUUUUCCUUCAAAAAUGAAGAAAAAAAUGAAGAAACCAUUGGAGAUGCUCUAACUCAUAGAACAAAUGCCUGAUUGGAGGAAAAUGAGGCUUUUUACAUUUAUUUUUCAUUUGGAUUUUAUGGUACAUAAAUGCAUGCAUGUAAGUAUGUAACGAUAAACUUUUUGAAUGGGGUUGAUCGAUCACCACUUUAACAAUAGAAAUAGCAUCAACGGAUAGUUGGUUUGAGACAAAUGAACUAGACCGGGCAGAAAUCGGGAUCUAGAGAUAAGGCAUGACCAGCCGUGAGAUAACCAAUAAUCAUCCUUUUAUCCAUAACAAUAAUCAUCGCCUCAACUACCACCAUAUAGACAUAAUCCACGCAAAAACAAAGGCGAUUUAAUUUGCUCGGACACUUACCAACUUUGUAAUUAACUAUAAUACGUGUUAAGAUUUGCAGCUUUCUUAUGGUUAUUGACUUAUUGUUAUAGUUAGCCCUAAAUUAUAUAUUAUUAUGUCGAUCAAAUUGAAGAACAAACAGAAAAACGAAAGAAAAUAGAUACAGUAUCUCGCUAACCUCUUUAUUCUUUAUUAGACAUGAGAUAUACACUUAUAGUUUGGUCGAUCCCUUUAGUCAUAAAAUUGGAUCAAAUUGAUGAAAAAAAUAUAUUUUGCUUAAUUUCAAUUUUUUUUAUAAGAGAUAAGAUAUACUAAUGUAGUCAAUGAGUCAUGAAACAAAGUGAAUUGACUUUUAUUAAAAAUUCCAACCAACUUGAAAACAGAGUUAACUGUUUCAGCCGCCAGAAGUACCUCUUACUUUUCUACAUAGAGACUAUUGACUAUUCAGCCAGCCAAAUGGACCGGCACGCCAACAAUAUAUUUAAAUGAAAUUAUUAUAAAAUAAAUAAAAAAAGACAGAGGAAGCUAAGCCUUAAUUCGCUAUAAAAAGAGAAACUAAGAUUUAUCAAAGCAUCAUCUUCAACACUACACACACAUACAGCCUCUCUCUAUUUCCUCGCUUCUAAUUAGUAAGGUACCGUGAAGGAGAAGAAAGAAAGAGAUAAGGACAAAUAUGGGAAUCCUUUUUGAAGAAACCUUGAGCUCUAACGGUAAAACCCAAAUUGUUAUUGAUGAUGAUAAUGAGUUGGGUUUGGUGGCCGUGAGACUAGCCAAUGCUGCAGCCUUCCCAAUGGUUCUCAAAGCUUCCCUCGAGCUCGGUGUCUUCGACACUCUCUAUGCCGCCUCUGAGUUCCUCUCACCUUCCGAAAUAGCGAGCCGGCUACCAACCACACCUCGCAACCCUGGGGCGCCGGUUUUGUUGGAUCGUAUGCUUCGUCUACUCGCUAGCUACUCCAUGGUCAAGUGCGGUACGGUCCAAGCCGGAAAGGGCGAGAGGGUCUACAAAGCCGAGCCGAUUUGCAGGUUUUUCUUGAAGGAUAACAUUCAAGAUAUUGGAUCGCUUGCUUCUCAAGUCAUUGUCAAUUUCGACAGCGUCUUCCUUAAUACCUGGUAUUUUUCUAUUCAUCGAUUGAGAUGUUUUAAAACAUUCAAAUUAAACCAUGAAUCUUAUGUUAUGGAUACGCUGUUUUCACAGGGCACAAUUGAAAGAUGUGGUGCUAGAAGGAGGAGAUGCGUUUGGCCGUGCACAUGGUGGGAUGAAAAUCUUCGACUAUAUGGGCACAGAUGAGAGAUUCAGCAAACUCUUUAACCAGACCGGAUUCACCAUCGCUGUUGUGAAGAAGGCUCUUGAAGUUUACCAAGGCUUCAAAGGUGUGAAUGUUUUGGUUGAUGUAGGAGGAGGAGUUGGUAACACUCUUGGUGUAGUUACUUCGAAGUAUCCUAACAUUAAAGGUAUCAAUUUUGAUCUGCCUUGUGCCUUGGCACAAGCACCUUCUUACCUUGGGGUAGAACAUGUCGCCGGAGAUAUGUUUGUUGAUAUCCCAACCGGAGAUGCCAUGAUCUUGAAAGUAAGUCCAACAACCCUCUUAUUUUAACACAUACUUACUAGAAGUGUAUGUAUGUUGUACAUUGUGCUUACUUUUUGGGAUUAAAUUUGUUUUACAGCGUAUACUUCAUGACUGGACCGACGAAGACUGCGUAAAGAUUCUUAAAAACUGUUGGAAAUCACUUCCUGAAAACGGUAAAGUUGUUGUCAUAGAAUUAGUCACUCCUGAUGAGGCAGAAAAUGGGGACAUCAACGCGAACAUUGCCUUUGAUAUGGACAUGUUGAUGUUCACACAAUGUUCCGGCGGAAAAGAGAGAUCACGAGCUGAGUUUGAAGCUUUAGCCAUGGAAUCAGGCUUUACACAUUGCAAGUUCGUUUGUCCCGCUUACCACUGUUGGAUUAUUGAGUUUUGCAAAGAAAAUGUUUAAAAAUAUAAUGAGGAAUCCUCAUGCAUCAAUUGUUAAUUUCAUCUUCGCUUUAUUCCUUGUUUGCGAUGAUCAUGCCUUUGUCCUUGUCUUCAAUGCAAUGAAAUAAAAAUAAGCUUUUAGAUUUAUUUUUUAACAGUCCACUCGCUGAAAAAUAACGGCUAGCUACUUCUCUAUUUUAAUGUUUCAAUUUUUCUAUUAUCAUGCAUAUGUUUGAAAGAAUCUUUUCAUAAUAAAUUAAUAUUCUAAUAAUGUAGUCUUUUAAGAAUACAGUUUUAAGUAUAAGAUAUCAUAUAUGAUGGGACGAAUAUCCGAUAAAAAAGAAACUGAGUCAAUUUUAAGGUUUUAUCCUUGGUAACUAUAAAUUCGGAAGGUGUGUGCAACGAUUAUAAAAAAUGCCACGAUACGAGCAUAGUAGUGUACAUAAAAUCCACGAUAAUGUUUGAUAUUUAUCUCUAUAUACACUUCUAUGCUCGUAUCGUGGAUUUUAUGUUCAUAAUUAAUUAAUUAAAGAUCUUUUAAAAAUAAAUAAAUUAAUUAAAGAUGUAUUUAAGUUUACUGAUAAGGUUAAGUUGUAGGAGUUAAAAUUUAGAUAAGUAAGAAAAUUACAAUUGAUGGAAUUACAAUGUUCGUAUAUGGUUUUGGAGGAAAAUGAAAAAUAGAGUUUAUUUUAUUGUUAUGUCAUUGAUUUAAAUUGUCUUUCUUUCCCCAGAAAUAUGCAACCUUCUUAUCCAUCCAUAACAACUCAUCAGUCAUCAGGCUCACUCACCUACCACCGUAAUAACCAUGCAAAGACAAAGGCAAUUUCAGUCACACACGUAACAACUUUGUAAUUUACUUAAAUUGGUCCAUUAUAUGGUUACUCUUUGAAUUUUAAGUUUUCUUAUGAUUAUUGAUCUAAUUAACCCAAAACUAUAUAAGUAAAAAUGAAGUUUGACAAUCCAAAACUCGUGACCUUCCUAGAAGGCCGAUUCAAGAUGGAGGCCAUAGAGGACAAGCGUGAUGUUUACACUCACUUCGGUCCAAAUUACAGCAGAUAUAUUAUCCUACUAAAGAAAAAUAAAAUAAAGAUUUCCGUAUUUUUCUUGUCCUUCCUAUGUCGCAAUCGUUCAAAUCAAGUUGGAGACUUGGAGCUAUGCGUUUCUCUGCGUAUUAUAAUUUAUUUUAUUAUUAUGCGAUCAAACUGAAGAACAAAAUAAAUAAGAUAUUUGCUUAUUAUUUUAUUUUCUUUUAUAACCGAUAUUUGCGAACGUAAUAUACACUUUUAUAGUCACUUGGUCUACCAUAGUGAUGAAAUUAAAGUGACUGUCGUCUCCUUUGAACAUUGACUUUUCAAAACCAAUUGACUUGAAACAAGAUUUAGCUGUUUCAGCCGCAACAAGGGCCUCUUACUUUUCCACAUCGAGACUAUUCAGCCAGCCAAGUGGACCGGCACGCCAACGAUAUAAUUCAAUGAAUACAAUAAAUUUAGUUAAAAUAAUAUGAGGAGGCUAUAAAGCCUUAGCUAUAAAAGGAGAAAUCAUCUUCAUCAACACUACAAAUAAGAAACACACAUACACAGCCUCUCUCUCCCUAUCUAUCUUUCCUCGCUUCUGAUCAGAGUGAUCACGUACGGUACCGUGAAAGAGAAGAAAGAAAAAAAUGGGAAUCCUUUUUGAAGAAACCUUGAGCUCUAACCCCCAAACCCAAAUUGUUAUUGAUGAUGAUGAUAAUGAGUUGGGAUUGAUGGCCGUGAGACUAGCCAAUGCUGCAGCCUUUCCAAUGGUUCUCAAAGCUUCCCUCGAGCUCGGUGUCUUUGACACUCUCUAUGCCGCCUCUGAGUUCCUCUCACCUUCCGAGAUAUCGAGCCGGCUACCAACCACACCUCGCAACCCUGGGGCGCCGGUUUUGUUAGAUCGUAUGCUUCGUCUACUCGCUAGCUACUCCAUGGUCAAGUGCGGUACGGUCCAAGCCGGAAAGGGCGAGAGGGUCUACAAAGCCGAGCCGAUUUGCAGGUUUUUCCUGAAGGAUAACAUUCAAGAUAUUGGAUCGCUUGCUUCUCAAGUCAUUGUCAAUUUCGACAGCGUCUUCCUUAAUAC